rnacentral:lncRNA from 1 species
AACUUCAGAGUUUGCUACAGCUAAUAUACUUCAGAGUUUGCUACAGCUAAUAUAUAGGUGGAACAUUCAGAGAUAAACAUGCAACCAGAAACAAUAAUCAGCAGGGUUCAAAAUAAUAUAGUGUGAGCCUGUUUAUUGUCAUAGAAACAACAAGAAGCUUACAAGCAUAGCAAGGAACUCUAAAAUGCUUCACCAAUGCAAUAAGAACCACAUAUAUCCUUAAGCAAACAUAUAGUGAAACUAAGCUAAUACACACAAAGAACCAGUAACAUAGCAGGUAGUCGGCUACCAAAUCUGUGAAAAUAAUUAUAUUGGCAUGUGGAGGCCAUUUUCUCUGUAUUAGAUAGUUUAAUCAGAGGGCCACCCAUAACUCUAUAAGCAUCCUGUACAUACAUGGUAUGGCUAUACAUAACACUUCUACUAUAUACAUGGAGCAGAACUAAAGAUGAGCAACGCUACAUGCACUGAAGCAAUAAAAUGAAGUAUUUUAGAGUUGCCAGCAGGACUUCACUAAUCACUAGGGACUAUCUCACCUCAACAGAUCAGAACACUAUAGUUGGGGACGACAGAUCAGCCAUCAGGACAGGACCUCACCUCACCAGAUCACCAGUUGGUAACAUACUGUUGCCCACAUCCCUAGUAACAAAGCCUCACUUAGCAAAAAAAAAGGGACAUGUCAAAUUCAUCAGGUUGUCGCUUGUUACAGAAAUAGUGGAUUAAAAAUGCAGAACACUUAGAAUAGAUUAUUGACAUUCACGCGCAAGAGACAAAAAAAUAUUGCAAUAAGCAUAAAUUAUUUACUAAUUUUCUCUCAGACGAUUCUUUAAUCAUAGCAACAAGCACAUACAUCCUACAACUAUAAAAUCUCACGGAUCUGAUACUCCAAAAAGUUUCUAGAGAACUAAUAAUGCAGUGUAAAGCUGUCGAGCAACAAAUCCUUGCAGAUAUUUGCGUGGUUUGUUAUAUGCUCACAGACAUUCAUCACAAACCUUCCAUCUUUGCACGCAGAUGAUUGAAUCCAAUUGGCGCCCUGAAGAAUGUCUGUGAGCACAUAACAAACUAAACCAUACACAAAGCACUAGUCAAGCAAUCUGUCAAAGACUUCAUAGGCAACCAGGCCAAAUAAAAAAUCAAAUACAAAAUCACUCAGCAUGCAUCUCACCGUGUGGCCGCCGGCACCAAAUCACAUGCUUCAACCAAUCAUGAUGUGAACAGAGCUACCCUGCGCCCAUUCCUGCUCCACUGGUCGGAGCUACUACUGCUCAAACCUGUGCCUCUGCUAGUCGGAGCCUCCUCUGUUCGUGCUAGCGCCUGGGCCUGCGCCACCGUCUGGAGAUGCUAGUGCCUGCGCCAUCCUAGAGAACUAGAUGAGGUAAGCGAUGGAGAGGAUCAGCGGUGAUUGAAGCCAAAGGAGAUUUAGGCGGAGAGACGAGGGAGAGUACUAACCCUGAACGAAGGGAUCUCCUUCCUCCAUAGAUCCACAAAGGUCCACCAUGGAUGCUCCUCGAUGCUUCGUCAAGGCCCACCGGAUCCUGAUAGUCUACCUCCACAGGUCCACCAUGGAGGGUCCUCCAUGGUGCCGCCAAGGCCACCGGAUUCCGACCGCCAAGCACUCGUGACUUCAUGACUCCAAGAAAGGAGUGCGGUGGGUGCGGCUGGUGAGGGGUGGGAGGGAGUGAGUGCUAGGGUUUGUCAUAUAUUUAUAUAGCGUGAGAGUACUGCUUGCCAUCCGAUCGCAAAUCAACAGCCAUAAGAUCAUGGGCCAAACACAAUUGGGCCGACCUCUCAUUAUGUUGUUGGGUUAUUUGUUUUUUUUUUUAAUUUUUUUGUAGAAAUAGAUUUAAUUAGUUCUAAAAUACAAAAAAUAAUAUAUGAUCCUUAUAUAAAUCACAGCUUUUACAUGAGUUUACGCCUUUUGUUAAAAUCAUUUGAAUUUUUUAUGGGAUUAUUAUACACUAAAAUCACGUUGACAUGCAAGUAUGUAGAUUUUUCUAAACAAUUUUAGAUAUUAUCACAUUUAUUCUAUGGUAAUUCAACAGAUAAUUAUAACAAUAACUAAAUUUAGUUAGAAAAUUCUUGAAAUCGACAUAACAAUAUAUUUUGAGUCCUUUAUUUUUUAUUUGAGGUCUUUUAUUGGCUAGUUUGACCUAGUUUGACCAAGUCAAACAUUGGAUUUUUUAGAAAAAAACACUUUGACCGGACCCUACAUGGUCCUAGAUACAAAACUCAUGAAUACAAAGUUUAUCCAGAUCAUCAAGAUAUACAUUUGGUUUAAUGGUCAACUUUUCAUCUGAGAGAAUUUGGACCACUCAAAUUUUAAAAUUUCAAUUUUUCACGGCUAUACUCACGUUUUCGGGACCCUAGACGGCCCCAACUCGAAAAGUCAUGAAUAGCAAGUUUGUUCCACUCAUCAAGAUCUACAUUUGAUACAUAGGACAUUUUUGCAUUUGACAAAGCAUUAUGAAAGUGCAGUUCUAAAUCCACAAGUUCCGCGUAUAGUUUCAUAAAGUCUAUGUGUGAUUCAAAACUGCGGCUAGAGUUUACAAACACUUUCUCAAAUGCAAAAAUAUCCUAUGUAUGGAAUGUGUAUCUUGAUGAGCUCUAGCUACCUUGUAUUCAAAAGAUUUUCGUUUGAGGUCAUUUAGUGCCUUGUUUGACCAGGUUUGACCAAGUCACGCCUUGGGUUUUCAAAAAAUGUGACUAGAGUUUACUGGAACUUUUCCAAAUGCAAAAUUGUACUAUGUAUCAAAGGUAGAUCUUGGUGAGGUCUAACUCCUUUGUAUUCAAAAGUUUUUCAUUUGAGGUCUUUUACUGUCUAGUUUGACCUAGUUUGACCAAGUCAAACAUUGGAUUUUUCAGAAAAAACACUUUGACCGGACCCUAGAUGGUCCCACCUACAAAAGUCAUGAAUACAAAGUUUGUCCAGAUCAUCAGGACACACAUUUGGUGUAAUGGUCAACUUUUCAUCUGAGAGGAUUUGGACCACUCAAAUUUUGAAAUUUCAAAUUUUCACGGCUAUACUCACGUUUUCGGGACCCUAGACGGCACCAACUCGAAAAGUCAUGAAUAGCAAGUUUGUUCCACUCAUCAAGAUCUACAUUUGAUACAUAGGACAUUUUUGCAUUUGACAAAGCGUUAUGAAAGUGCAGUUCUAAAUCCCCAAGUCCCGCACAUGGUUUCAUAAAGUCUAUGUGUGAUUCAAGAUUGUGGCUAGAGUUUACAAAUACUUUCUCAAAUGCAAAAAUUUCCUAUGUAUGGAAUGUGUAUCUUUAUGAGCUCUAACUACCUUGUAUUCAAAAGAUUUUCAUUUGAGGUCAUUUAGUGCCUUGUUUGACCAGGUUUGACCAAGUCACGCCUUGGGUUUUUGAAAAAUGUGACUAGAGUUUACUAGAACUUUUCUAAAUGCAAUGUAUCAAAGGUAGACCUUGGUGAGGUCUAACUCCUUUGUAUUCAAAAGUUUUUUAUUUGAGGUCUUUUAUUGGCUAGUUUGACAUAGUUUGACCAAGUCAAACAUUGCAUUUUUCAGAAAAAAUACUUUGACCGGACCCUAGAUGGUCCUAGCUACAAAAGUCAUGAAUAAACAAAAAAUACAUAUUGAAAAACCUAUUAAAUGAAUAAACAAAACUAAAGCUAAAACUGAAAAGAAAAUUGGGGGUGUGGAUCUCCAGCCGGCGGCGUCCAUCGUGGAGAAAGAGAUGCGAUUUUGGUCGGCGCAGAGUCAAGGGCGUGGAGCUGCAGCCAGCAACGGACCUGCAGCCUGAUGCGUGCGAAUGUGGUCAGCAGACUGAGAUGCCAAGUUUCUGAUCUCUUUUUGCCAGUAUCCAAACUCCAGAAUACAAAAACUGUCGAACACUCCCCUCUAGCAGAAAAAGGGAUUGGUUUUCAGUGGCGAGCGCAGUUGGCCUAGGAUGAAAUUGUCGGCAGGUCCCAGGUUCAAACCCUGUGGCUACUGAUAUUUUGGUUUUUUUUUAUUUUUUUAUCCAAUCCUAUAUGGGGCUAUAACUAUGGUGUUUUUUUUUAAUUUUUUUCAUCUAAUCCUACAUGGUCCUCUAACUAGGGCAUACGGUAGUGUGCAUCAACGACUAAAUAGGAUAACAUAAUAUUUUAAAAAUAAAUAUAAUACAUUUAUAUUUAUAAUGAUCAAUUAUUGUUACAAUAUAUCAUCACAAAUACCAAUAUUUUGGUGUUUUCUUUUGAAAUUUUCUUCCUCCAAUCCUACGUGGGACUAUGAGUUAACUAGGACAGAAAUAAUUCACCUAGGACAUAUGAUAGUGUGCACGCCAUGUGGGAUAACAAGAUAUUUUAAAAAUAAUUAUAAUAGAUUUAUAUUUUAUGACAACUAACUAUUGUCACAAUCUAUCGUCAUAAAUCCCAUGCAGCUAGAUGCUAUGGCGUUGUUUAUGAUGAAGACACAGUUUGGUCAUAACCUUUUGUCAUCCACUAAACAGUCGUCAUAAACAGCCUGUGUUUAUGACAGAUAGGUGUUCUGUCAUCUGGUAAUCGUCAUAGAAGCCCAGAUUUCUUGUAGUGCCCUGCUUUCACUGACUUUUGGGAUCCGUUCAGUUUUUUUUCCAAAAGCCACAAGUGACCAACGGUUUGAUGGUCAACAGAUCGGCGGUCAGCAUGUUGGUGGCCAGAUGAUUAACCCAAUGUUCCAUGCAGACCGCGCACCGCACAGACACGUGGAAGCCUAUCAGCAGGUGCCAGAGCCGCAACCGCCUCAUCGGCAAGAUGCCGAUGCUUAUUGGGCCGAUAAGAUUGCUGAAGUCAUGAGAGACCAAUUUGGGAUAAAACCUAAAGUCAAUACUUACUCUUAUCGGACACCAUAUCCUCCUGCAUAUGAUUAAAUCCCGCUUCCAAAUCAAUACAAAGUGCCGGAUUUUACUAAGUUUUCAGGGCAGGAUGAUACAUCAACCAUGGAGCAUGUCAACAGAUUCAUCAUCCAAUGCGGAGAAGCCGCUAACAGAGACGAGUUAAGGGUUCGCUUGUUCUCGUCAUCAUUAUCUGGAUCGGCUUUCACCUGGUUCAUAUCAUUACCUCCCAACUCAGUAAUUACCUGGGUCUAUCUAGAAAAGCAGUUCCAUAAAUACUUCUUUUCUGGAGUCCAUGAGAAGAAGAUCACUGAUUUGGUCAAACUGAGGCAACGCAAUGACGAAUCGGUUGAAAGUUUUGUGCAGAGGAUACGGAAAGUCAAGAACAAAUGCUAUAGCCUGGUUCUGGAUGAUCGGCAGCUAGCCGAUUUGGCUUUCCAGGGUUUGUUGCCACAUAUCAGGGACAAAUAUGCAUCUCAGGAGUUCGAAAGCUUAAGUCAUUUGGUGCAGAGAAUUUCUGAUCAAGAUAUCAAGCCUUUUGAGCCCAAGAGAGCAUGGAAUAAAAAUGUAUCAUUUGUGGAUGAAGCGACAAGCUCGGACUCUGAUGAAGAACCAGUCUCGCCUUAGCAGAAUGGGUAAAAAAUAAGAAGCCGAUGUCUUGUCCUUUUGGACACAAAGAUCCAGAGAAGUUCACAUUCGACGUCACCAAGGCCGAUAGGAUAUUUGACUUUCUACUUCAGGAAGGUCAAAUCAAAUUGUCACCCAAUCAUGUAAUCCCAUCGGCUGAAUAAUUAAAAAGGAUGAAGUACUGCAAAUGGCACAAUGCAACUUCUCACAGCACCAAUGAGUGCAAAGUUUUUAGACAACAAUUGCAAUCGGCUAUAGAAUCUGGAAGGAUCAAAUUCGACAGCUCUAAAGCUCAGAAGCCGAUGAAGAUUGAUCAACAUUCUUUCCAACAAACAUGCUGGAUGCUAAGGGAAAGGCCAAGGUCUUAACAUCGGAAACAGCUGAAAGAAGUGCAUCGGUGGAUCCUCAACAUCAAAUCACUACUGCCGAUGCGAAAGGAAAAGGUUUGAUCCAGGAGGGAACUAACUCAGGAAUGCCUCCCAGAUCCGGUAUUGUAAUAACUCACAGAAGGCCUCGGGAAACUUGGCAGCAACGUGAGGAUCGGUAUCGGCGCUAGCAAGAGGACUAUCGUCGGGAAGAAGAAAGACGCCGACAGGAGUGGAAUCGGCAUAGGGAUCACUGGAAUUGUCCGUUCUUCAUCCAUUGUUGGGAGGAAAAUAUCAAACUCCCUGUUGUCAGAGAUUGUCCCGAGUGCAACGGUUAUGAUCGGUAUGACAGAUCCGAUCGGCGCUAUCACAAUGAUGAUCGGCGAUUCAAUGGGCCGAUUAGGGGGAGAACGUCCGUUCAUGAUCGACUCGGAGGCAGGCUCAGUGUGCACGACAGGAUCGGCGAUUGUGUUGAAUAUUUUCCCAGGAACUAGGAAGAACUUGGAGAGAUGGCUAGUGCACGGGUUCCCGAUGAGUUCAUAUUCUACAGGGACGCCAAUACUUACCGGGUGGAGUCAAGGGAAAAUUAUCGCCCAUCAGUAAGGCAGCAGCAACUCCCUCUAUGGUGUCCAGAAGGGUUGACCAGGACACAAAAGAGAAGGCUACAGCGCGAAAGGCGAGAAGAGUUAAGCAAGGGCGAGAACUCUGGCCAGUCUGGGGAUCAUCAACAAGCAGAUCCUAAGGGGAAAGGGCCAUCGGCAGAUGUCAACAUGGUAUUUAUGUUGCCGAUGGAAUUCCUUGCGCCGUCCAGCGAUGACGAAUUGGAGUUUUCCGAUCAGAUAGCUCAGUUGGCUCUGGAUCCGAUGACAGCUAUCUUUGAAAAGCCUGCCGAUGAUGAAAGGCAACAUCUUAAGGCUCUGUUUGUCAAAGGAAGGGUUGAUGGUCAGCCGAUGACCAAGAUUUUAAUUGAUGGUGGAGCUGCUAUCAAUAUCAUGCCGUAUGCAGUGUAUCGGAAGCUUGGGAAAGGAGAUCAGGAUUUGACCAAGACCGAUAUGAUGCUUAAAGACUUUGAGGGCAAUGUGUCUCCAGUUAAGGGGGCAAUAUGCGUUGAGUUUACCAUCGGCAGCAAAACCUUGCCGACAACCUUCUUCGUGAUCCGUGGGAAAGGUGCUUAUAACUUGCUGCUAGGAAGGGAUUGGAUUCAUGCCAACUGUUGUAUCCCGUCUACAAUGCACCAAUGCUUGGUUCAGUGGGUAGGUCACAAGAUUGAGAUUGUCCCGGGAGAUUCUUCCUAUGUUAUUGCAUCGGCAGAAGCAGACACCUAUGAGAGAACUAGGUGUAUUUCAGGAGAAGUCUGGGAAAAGGAUUUUCUCAAAGUUGCCGACUAUGAGAUUCCACCGAUCCAAACAGUCGGUUCGGACGAAGAGUUUUAAUGGAUAGGUUCGCCGAUGAUGGAAAAUUAGGCCAGGGAUUCACAUCGGCCGAUGAUCUAGUAGAAGUAGACAUAGGCAGUGGUGAUAAACCUAGACCUACUUUUAUUAGUGCUAAGUUAAGUUCUGAGUGUAAGCAACAGUUAACUGAUUUGUUAAAAGAAUAUAAAGAUUGCUUUGCUUGGGAUUAUACUGAGAUGCCUGGUUUGGACCGAUCGAUUGUUGUACAUCGGUUGCCUAUCAAGUCUGGAUUUCGGCCACAUCAGCAGCCAGCUCGCCGAUGUAAUCCUAAUAUUCUUCCUGAUAUUAAGGCCGAAAUAACCAAACUGAUUGAAGCUAAAUUUAUUCAGCAAUGUCGGUAUGCCGAGUGGAUUUCCAAUGUGGUUCCAGUCUACAAGAAAAAUGGGAAGCUUCGGGUCUGCAUUGAUUUCAGGAAUCUUAAUAAAGCUACACCGAUGGAUGGUUACCCAAUGCCAGUUGCCGAUCUGCUAGUUGAUGCUGCAGCCGGGCAUUGGAUUAUCAGCUUUAUGGAUGGCAAUGCAGGAUACAAUCAAAUAUUCAUGGCUGAAGAAGAUAUUCCAAAGACUGCAUUUAGAUGUCCUGGUCAUGUUGGAUUGUUUGAAUGGAUAGUCAUGACCUUUGGCUUGAAGAAUGCUGGUGCUACUUAUCAGAGAGCCAUGAAUUUUAUAUUUCAUGAGUUCAUCGGUAAGCUGGUGGAAAUUUAUAUUGAUGAUGUCACAAAGCAUCUUGCCGAUUUGCGAAAGGUGUUGGAAUGCACAAAGAAGCAUGGUUUGAUGAUGAAUCCCAAUAAAUGUGCAUUUGGUGUAUCGGCAGGACAAUUCCUUGGUUUCAUGGUGCAUCAGAGGGGAAUUGAGAUCAGUCGAAGAUCCAUUGAUGCCAUCAACAAAAUAGUUGCUCCUACCAACAAGACUGAGCUCUAGUCCUUGAUCGGCAAUGUAAAUUUUAUCAGGAGAUUUAUAUCUAAUUUAUCUAGUAAAAUUCGUGCUUUCAGUCCUUUGCUUAAGUUGAAAGCCGAUCAAGAAUUCGUUUGGGGGAAGGAACAACAAUUGGCCUCUAAUGAAAUCAAGAAUUAUUUCCUGAAUCCUCCAGUCCUUAUUCCACCUCAGCAAGGGAAGCCCUUUAGAUUGUAUUUGUCUACCGAUGGGAUGGUCGUCGGUUCGGCUUUGAUUCAGGAAUUUGAAGGGAAGGAACGUGUGAUUUACUAUUUAAGCAGGAGGUUGAUCGAUGCUGAGACUAGGUAUUCGGCUAUUGAGAAGCUGUGUUUAUGCUUGUACUUCUCCUGUGUCAAGUUGAGACAUUAUUUGUUAUCGGCCGAAUGCACUGUCAUAUGCAAAGAUGAUGUGGUCCGACACAUGCUGUCUAUGCCGAUCAUGAGUGGCAGGAUCGGUAAGUGGAUUUUGGCACUGUCAGAAUUCGAUUUGCGUUACCAAUCGGCUAAAGCAGUUAAGGGACAGAUUAUGGCCGAUUUUGUGACUCAACAUUGCGGUACAGUAGAAAAUUUAGAAAUUGUACCUUGGACGCUCUUCUUUGAUGGAUCCACGUGUGACCGGGGGGCAGGAAUCGGCAUCGUGUUAAUUUCCCCUCGGGGAAGGAAAUAUGAAUUCUCCUUGCCGAUUGUUGCCACGUCAACAAAUAAUCAGGCUGAGUAUCAAGCUUUGAUAAAGGGGUUGGAGUUACUAAGAGAAGUUCAUGCUGAUGCUGUUGAGAUCUUCGGAGAUUCAGGCUGAGUAUCAAGCUUUGAUAAAGGGGUUUAGGGUUUAGGGUUUUAGGGUUUAGGGUUUAGGGUUUAGGGUUUUAGGGUUUAGUUAUAAAUCAAUUGGCUGGAAGCUAUGAAUGCCGAAGUGAGGUCCUCAUAACUUAUCACGAUAGGAGUAUGCAACUGUUAAAGGAAUUCAAGGAUUUCCAAUUGGAGCAUGUUCCUCGAUUGCAUAAUGAAGAGGCCAAUCGGUUGGCUCAGCAUGCCUCGGGAUAUCAGCCCAUGAUUAAUGCAAUAUCGGCAAUCAGUGCCGAUGAUUGGAGAAAAGAAAUCAUUGAUUAUUUGAAGGAUCCAUCCAAGAAAGUUGAGAGACGAAUUCGGUUUCAAGCUACCAAGUAUGUUCUCCUCGAAGAUGAAUUGUAUUAUCAAACUAUUGAUGGGAUUCUUCUCAGAUGCUUAGGUGAUGAUGAAGCUAAGAGUUUGAUGGGAGAAAUCCAUGAAGGGGUAUGUGGAGCACAUCAAUCGGCUUUUAAGAUGAAAUGGAUGAUUAGGAGGAAUGGGUAUUAUUGGCCGACCAUACUUGAAGAUUGCUUUAAAUAUUUCAAGGGAUGUCAAGGAUGUUAGAAAUUCGGCAAUAUUCAAAGAGCACCCGCAUCGGCCAUGAAUCCUAUUAUCAAACCUUGGCCGUUCCGGGGAUGGGCUAUUGACUUAAUAGGUCAGAUUUAUCCACCAUCUAGCAAAGGGCAUAAAUUUAUCUUGGUUGCCACUGAUUAUUUCACCAAAUGGGUUGAAGCUAUUCCUUUGAAGAAAGUUACAUCGGCCAAUAUGAUUAAUUUUGUGAAAGAACAUAUUAUUUACCGAUUUGGAAUUCCUCAAACAAUUACUACCGAUCAGGGUACUAUGUUCACAUCGGGGGAAUUUGAUGAAUUUGCAAUCGGUAUGGGAAUUAAAGUAUUAAACUCUUCUCCUUACUAUGCUCAAGCUAAUGGGCAGGCCGAGGCAUCUAACAAAGGAAUUAUCAAGCUCAUUAAGCGAAAGAUUGAAGAAAAUCCUAGGUGGUGGCACACAUUGUUAAACGAAGCUUUAUGGUCAUACCGAAUGGCUUGUCAUGGAUCGACCAAGGUUUCACCUUAUCAGUUGGUGUAUGGGCAUGAUGCAGUGUUACCUUGGGAAAUUAAGGCUGGGUCUAGGCAACUAUCUUUUCAGGAUCAGUUGACUGCCGAUGACUAUGCUACUUUGAUGACAGACGAGUUGGAUGAUUUAGCAGGGCAUCAGCUAAGGGCUUUGAUGAGUAUAGAACAGAAUAAGAAGAGAGUUGCUAGAUGGUAUGAUAAGAAGGUAAAGGCUAAAGAAUUUGCCGAUGGAGACUUAGUGUGGAAAUUGAUCUUACCGAUCGGGACUAAAAGCUCAAAAUUUGGGAAGUGGUCUCCCAAUUGGGAAGGUCCCUAUCGGAUAAGUCGAUCGGCUCUUGGUAAUGCCUAUAUUUUAGAAACUCUCGAAGGAGUUGAAUUUCCUAGAGCAUUAAAUGGCAAAUAUUUGAAGAAGUACUACCCCAGCAUAUGGAUCGAUGCAUGAAAGUUAAGUGCCGAUAACAUUCCUAUCGGCUGGAUCGAAAUGUAUCUGGAGCUGGACUUAGUGUUUUAAGGAAGUGCCAAUAACAGUCCUAUCGGCUAGACCAACAUCUUGAGAAUGUUCAAAAGAAAGAAGCAAGUACGUUGCCGAUGAUUGGUUCACAUGUUCCGCAACAUUUAGAUCGCUGAUACAGCACGCAGACGGAUCUGGUUUGCUUCUUCUAUCACUUUUGUAUCAUCAUCGGCAGAGCCUUCUACUGGCUUCAUCUUUUUCUUCAUCUGCAAAGCCGUGCGGGCUUAGAUGUUGCGCUCUUGCUCAAGAAGCUUGAUUGUCUCUAGCAGUUGGCUUUCUUCUUGUCGGGCUUGGGACAAGGUGUCUUCCACUUGCUUGAUUUCUACCAACAGGGCUUCUCUUUUGGCCGAUAGAUCGGAGAUCUUGUGCUUCAGAGCAUCUCCCGAGGACUUUAAAAUGUCGAUGUUCUUGUGCUUCUCAUCGGCAAGGAGCUACACCUUCAUCAUUUCCUCGGAAAGCUGGGCAUGAACGGCUCUAUCGGCGAGACGUUGGGCAGCUCUCUGGUACUGCAGCUGACGGCUCUCCAGAUGUGCGGCUUGGAAGAGGAUCUCUUCAGCAUCGGUAGGAAUUUGGCCUCUGAGGACUUUGAACAAAGCCUUGGCUGGGUCGGAGUCGUCAACUAGUUGGGCUGUGUCUUGGUGAAGGAGGGCUGAUAAUUCUUCCAAUUUCGUCCUGAUUUCUGCCGAUGUGAUCCCAACUGCCCGAGAAGAGCUUGCUUCCUCACCUUCAUCUUCGAAGAUGUCGAUGGCGAAAGAGAACAAACUGUCGGGAGAAUCCUGCUCCUGAAAAGGAAAUAAAAUGAGUUAUUUUAUGGUCAAGUAUUGAUAAAUGAUACAGAAAGGGAUUGGAUAACAUACUUGUUUCAGGGCAAUCUCUCGCCUCUGAAUGGAAGAUGCCGAUGGAACCACGGGUUGAUCGGCCAGAGUUGCCGAUGGAACUAUAUCAGCUGAAAAAUUAGUAGAGGUAAUUAUAAAAUCGAAAAAUGGGUUCAUCGGCAAUGAUUUCAUAAAAUAUAUUACCUUGGGGUGGUGCAGUGCUUGUCUGGAUCGAGGAAACUACCGAUGCUAUGAUCGAGCCUGCUAGAUCGGUAGUCUGCUUGCCCACAUCAGCCGAUCUGUCUUCAGGCUGAGGUACUUCUGACUGAGCUCCUGCUGGCUGGAUUUCUUCCACUUAGGGUGCUUCUUGCAGCUGAGGGGGAGAUGGAGCUUGUUGCAUUUGGGCUUCUGGAGAGGAAGGAGAAGAUUCUACUGGGAUUGGUGAUACUGGGGGAGGAGAAGGCGUUGCUGUCUUUUGGCGCUUUGCUUGUGCCCUGGUAUUGUUGGCACCUUUUCUCUUUGGCUGACUAGACUGGGGGGCAUCGGCACUUUUGCUGCUGGUCCUUGCCGAUGCGCCGGUAUGCUGAUGCAAAAGGGGAAAUUUGUGAGUACAAGUGCAACAGAUGUAAGAGUGAGAUCGGUAUGAAAGAGUUUGAAAAUGUACCUUGAACGCCUGUGCCAAAGUAGAGGCAGCUACUGAUGGAGAUAUCUGAGUUCUCUUAGUGGUGACUAUUAUGAGGCGUACGCCCCGAUGCAUGAUGGCAGCCAAAGUGGGAGCGUUGUUGCCGAUUGAAGAGAUCAAACUCGAUGGAAAAAGGUCAAUCGGCUUGCCAUUCCUGCUGACCGAUGGGGGGACAUUGUCAACCUGCAAUAUAAUACAGAAAGUGAGUUACUGAUGGAAAUAAAAUUGAAGGAAUUGAAACAUCGGUUUGGAAACACUUACAGUAUUAUCAGGAAUUUUGUACUGAGGAUCAAUCAUGCCGCGGUACGAAAGAGCCGAUUUGUAGAACAAAUGCUCCUUCCAUUCUUCCCACCACUGCUUGUAGGCUUGAGUAAUGAAGAGGGCCGGAACCCACUCUGACAAAUCUGCAUCGGUAUCAGCAUUCGGGGGCAGUUGAGCUACCCUGGUCCACUCGAGGAGGCUGGUGAUGGUUUCCCUGGGUUUUAUCACAUCGGCAUAACAGAGUGCAAUCGGCAGCUAGCCAAAAGCUAGUUGAUGAGCUAGUGCCGAUGGAUUGUAAAACUCGUAGGUCUGGUUGGAGGCUGUCCCACUGCCAAAGAAGUUUACUGGUAUAGCUCUUGGAGUGAUCAGUGCCAUCAUCAUCUCAUGAUCCUAAGCAUCGUUGAAUGGAUGGAAGACCAAGGGAAACAUAGUAUCUGGAUCUUCAUAAGGCAUCCACGCUCGCUGCUCUCGGGUCAGGCCUUCAUACAAAGACUGGAAGAAUCGGCUGACCUGGUCUGCAUUGCCGCCUGUGCCAGGUAGAACAAUGACAGCUUCGCCAAAGUUUAGAGGAGGGCGAGUUGCUGAUUCUUCUUCAUCUAAUUCAUAAUCCUCAGCUAUGUCCCUGGGGAAGCGUUGUGUGAAGAGGUUGAAUUCAAGACGCUUGUGCAUGUGGAGGUUGAGCCACAUAUUGAUGAACCACCAGGGUCCUCCUAAGUUGCCGAUGGACAGGCCGAGCAGGAGUUUUCUGGCUACUUGGUGGAGGAGAUGGUAGGCAGCGCCAAGCACGUAUCGGCCGAGGGGAAAUCGGCCACCAUUAGCUAAUCUCUCUGCUGCCGAUAGGUAGACUGAGGUUGGUCCUGCCGAUCGACCACAGAAUACAAAUUUAUCCAGCCACAUGUUCAAAAAGGUGGUUUGUUUCUUUAUGUUGACAGGCCCCGUUCUGCUGUACUUCUGAAUAUACCCUGACCAGUCGCCGAUAGCGCGGGUUUCCACCUUGGCACUAGGUGUGGUGUCAAAUAUGUGACUGCUAUUGGCAGUAGAUACAUCUAAGCCGGUGAGCAUAAGCACAUCGGCAAGAGUGGGAGAAGCAGGGUCGUGACCAAAGACAAAGGCAUUGAGUGUGUCUGACCAGAAAUAUGAUGCAGCUAUCAACAGUGACUCGUUCCUAUGCAUAUCGACAAUGGACAACCUGAUGCAUUGGUCCAGUUUUCUCUCGCCCCACUGGACUUCAUUUGACUGGCUAACUCUCAAAAACUAAUCCUUCCAUCCCAUGGUAGGACUGGGCCAGGAACGAAAGGUAUCCUUCCACAGAUCUAGAGAAAAGUUCUCGGCUCUAAAGGGGAUUCUGUUUGUUUCUGCGUUGAUUAAAUCGGUGGGAUCUGGGUUCCCUAACGGACCAAGACAUUGGAGGUGUGGCUGAUCGGUAGGGAUGACAAUUUUAUUGGACAGAUCCUAAUGGUUUUGAAGGUAAAAGAAGAACAAAGAAAGAAAAGGAAAAAAUGUUCAGUAAAGUAAAUUGCGAAUGAACAAGGAUACGGUAAAAGCACAGGAGGUGGAAUGAAGAACUAACCUCAGGAACGAUGAAGUUGAUGGCCAUCUCCUCACAAAAAGGAUGAUCGAAGGCUUCGAGGUUGGUGAAGAAGGGGCUUUGUUGGAGUUCUUGGAGAUCUCGAACAGCGCUGCCGCCAGGAAGGUGGAGUUGGAACUGUGGAAUGAUGCGAUGGAGGAGUACCCGAGAAGGAACUAUUUAUAGAACAAAAUGGGCAAGGGUAAAUCUGACUUAUCACUUUGCCGUAUCCGUGAAAUCCGAGGAUACUCAGGAAGAUAUGGUAACUGUUCGCACGGUAAUCAAGGGAUUGCGCAGGUGAUUUGACAGGAAGCGGUCGUAAUUCGGAGAUAUUUUACUGUGCGAGAUUUCCUGGUCGGUCCAUCAGCAGCGCCUUGCAACGGUAAUAUUGCCGAUGGGCGGAUAAAGUGGAGAUAUCCGUUGGGGAGGAUAAGACACAUCACUGUACAGGGCAUCCUGGUCAGUCCAUCGGCAGCUCUCUGUAUCGGUGACAUUGCCGAUGGGCGAUUGAAGUGGAGAUGUCCGUUUAGGAGGUUGAGGAUUUCGAGGAAUCUGCGGAAGGAUUAGAUCAGGGUUGUUCAGAUUGAGGUUGUCGGUUACCAAAUUGGGAGAAUUAAUUACAGAAAGGUAUCGUUAUUGCAGAGAAUUUCGGAGCAUUAAUAAUUUCAUACUCCAAAAUUGGGGGGCAUGUGUUGAUACCGUUUUUGGACACGUAUCUAGGAUCGGUAGAGGGUGGAUCGGCAAGACAGAGUAAUGGUUACUGGUCUAGAGAAGGGUUGCCGAUGAGGACGGUUGCCGACGAGAAGACAGCUGAAUAUGGCUAAGUCCGUGGAUGGUGAUGUGUUUAUGCCGAUGGCCAGUAUUAAUCGUUGCCGAUGGGGAGUCUGCCGAUGACGUGGAAGGAAGACUUGGAGGUCGCCAAUUGAUCCGUGGUGGUGUCUCAGCCUGUCGCGGUAGGAUAGGUUUAUGUUUUCCUUAGUUAUUUAAAUCGUUCUGUACACGGAUUCUGUUUAAAUAUGGAAUUCGAAUUCUAGUCGUGUCUGGUUGUAGCUCUUUGAGCAGGGUAUAAAUAUAGACCCUAGGGCCUUGUAAUUAAUGAAUCUAUCAAUCAAUCAAACACAAGUUUCUACUCAUAUUCCAGCAUCUACUUUCUCGACGACUUUGUCAUAUUUUUCUUUUUCAUUACGAGUUCUUAGGAGUUCGUCGACUUAAGCUCGGCGUAUUCUCAAGUUCCGUGUCAAUACCUCUUGGCCGUGGCAUCCGGGCGCAUCGCUGUUGUCGGGACCAAAGUAUUCGAGUUAUCACCUUUGCCGAUAGUAAGGUCAAAUCAGCUGGCACGCCUUAACGUUUAAAUCGGGUAUUAGCCAUUUGUGUUUGCAGAUCAACUUUUGCAUCAACAAAUAUACUAUAAAACACUAUAUAUAUAUAAAUAAUAUGUAUCUAUAGGUCCAUAAUAUAAUAUUUACACAUAUGCUUCACGGACAAAGUGUUUACAACACAAUUUAUCUCCGCCACUCAAGCAUCGUACAAAUGAUCAUCGUUAUUUGGUUUCAUCUGCUCCUGAGGGUUGAAGUAGCACUCGCCGCCGGGAUCCAAGACUUGGUCGUUAAGAAAUCAUGCGAUUGUCUCCUGAAUUUCUUUUAGGCGCACCGCAUCCAACACCUGCUCCUUCAGCCACAUCUUCUUUAAUAGACAUUAAAGAAAAAAGUUAGAGGUAUGAAUAGGAUUUAUUAAAUAGCAACAAAUAAAUGAAAUAAACUUAUUAUAUAUACAUGUUACAUACUUUUAGGUGCUCAAGAUUAGUUCUUUUGGCAUACACCGUCAUAAACUCGCACACAUAGUAGCCACACAAAUUGUUGUCCGGUGUCUGCCGUAGAACCCACUGAAGUAAGAUGGGCUUCGAAAGUGCUGCAUUCAACUCUGGACGGUGUUUCUGCAUGAACCCAGCCCAAACCCUAGCAAUAAAAUGAUCAUUAUUAAUUAUCCAUUACCAAGCUAAAAGAGCAGAAUUUAAUAUAUAGAGAUAGGAGUUACCCUUAGAUAAUAUCUAUCAUUUCUUGGUAAUUGUCCUGUGGUUUUCUCAAUGAGUCAUAGAUUACCAAUUGACAUUGCCAGAGAUCAAUGACAAUUAGUAUCCAAUGAAAUUUGCAUUUGUGUGCAUAUAUAGGCAAAAUUAGUAUAUAUGUUCAUAUUGAUCUGAUUAAUUAGUUAAAUAGAAUGUACACACGAUAACGACUCUUACUUAAAGUUAUAGGGAAAGAGUAUAUAUCUUUUAUCUUUUUGGUUGAUCAAGAACCUCCGUAGAUUUCUCUCCGUUUGAGUUCUCCAUAAGACAUACGGGGUCUUGUGGUAUUUGAAUACAACAUUUGGAUCCACAAAUCCAAUCUCCUUAUCAUUUCUAACUCUGAGGUCCCUCAUCAUGUUUCUGCAUAUGUAUAGCGGGUUUCUGUAAUUAGUUAUAUAUAUACAUGAUAAGUUACAGAGACAUUAUUGAAAGGAAGAAUCACUUACAGACAGAAGCAACUCAUUAGAGAUUUGUCAAGAGCGUCCAUGUGGCAUAGUUGGUGUAGCUCAUUAAAUUGAACAUAAAUAAUAUCAUCACCACGGAAGUAAUGAUAGUUUCUAAUUCGGACACAAAUAUAGUCAUUUGCUUUUCUGACACACGCUUCCAUGUACCAUUUGUUUAGCAUGUACAUUUGCGUUCCAAGCUUGCUGACGGCCGCAGGGUUGUAUAAACUCUUGCCAUAUGUAUAUUCCAUCUGCCAAUGAUCAAUUUGUGGAGCACUUUCAAUUGGUGCCCCCGCUAUCAAUUGGGCUAAGCUAAGACCAGUUUCCGCAAAAAAAAUUUCAAGCUCAUCAAAUUUUAAAUCUGCCGGUAUCUGCUGGUCUAGCACGUCAAUGUUUGAACCAUAUUCAUUUCCAAUGACUAGUGGGGGCACUGAAUGCUUUGAUUGUUCCCCAAGCUGUGCUACACCCUUGUGUGCUCUUUUCUAUUUCUUCUUCUCUUCUUCUAUGGAUUUCCUUAAAGUGCGAUCAUAGUCCGAUAAAGAUGAUGAUUCUUUGUGAGCUUCACGCCUCUUUUUUUGUUCAGCCUCAACCCUUUGUUGUAGAUCUUCUGGCCGUAGUAAGAGCUAUGGCUUCUCAGGGUUUCGCUUGGCUUCUCUUUCAGUCUUAAGUUUCUUGAAGAAACUAUCCAUGUUUGAUUUUACUGAAGCAUUUAGUUCUGCAUCAGUCUUCUCAUAGGACAGCUUCUUAGGAAUGAUAGCUUGUUUCUUUUUGGAGGCUUUCUUUUUUGGCGGCGGGGCGGCUGACACAUUUGAUUGUGUGGCCGGCCUCUUCUUUCGUGCUGGAGCCACAUGUGGAGGCGAUGGGGCGGCCGGUGGCGGUGUUGGAGCCCGAGGAGGCGGCGUUGGAGCCCUAGGUGUCGUUGGAGCCCUAGGUGGCGGUGUUAGAGCCUGAGGUGGCGGUGUUAGAGCCCGAGGUGGCGGUGUUGGAGCCCUAGGUGGUGGCGUUGGAGACCGAGGCGAUGCAGCCGUGUCUUGCACUCCCUCGUCAUCACCCGCAGCACUAUGACAUGUCGGCGACCACCUGUGAAAACAAAAGGUAUGAGUAAACCGCUAACUAAGAGAAUGCAAAAUAAAUUUAGUGAACAAAUGUAUAGUCAAUUUUCAUCCGCACCUAGGAUUAGAUUCAUGACGAGGAGGUGGUGGUAGACUACUAGGUGAUGCCCGGGAAUAAUGAUGUAGCGCUUGCACCAACAAAUAAAAGUCUUCUCUGCUUCUCCUAGAGUCUUCUCUCCAUCACCUUCUUCUAUCUCAAGCUGCACAUUACUGAAGCCUUUGACAACUCUAUCCACCGAGACACUAGCAUAACCAGGUGGAACUAUCGCCCCAUGGAUUCUUGGUGUCCUCGUAGGGUCGACAGGAGUUACAACACCGACAGCAACCAUGACUGUGGCAGUCCCCUGUGGAAUGUGCAGCUCACAUGUUGUUAGAGGUUCAGUGAUGUCAUCCACCGAAAAGUGCAGCCCCACGUCGUCUUGAAUAGUUGGCAUCUCUGUGGAAGCGCAACUACUUUUCAACUGACCGGGGGGGCUAAUGUUGACUCUAGGCUCUGAUGCAGUUUGCCCUUGUAUAGAACUUACUACAAUCUGCACUUGUCUUUUGAUCUCCUCGUUCAUUCUCUCUUCAAGCGCUUUCUCUCGCGCUAUCGCUUCACGAGCCGCUUCCCGUGACUCAAUCACCAUUGCCUCCAACCUAUGCAACCGCUCUGCUUCAUCUUCCUUCUUUCGUUGGUGCCUUCUAUAAGUCGGUCUAUCUUUAGGGAAGCCAUGCUCCCAUGAUACCUCCCUAUAGCCUCUGGUUCGCCCACCGUGUUCAGCAGUCUCCAGGGCGUAUGUCAGCUCAUCCUUUUCUCUAUUUGGCUGUCAGGUGCCGCUUUCAACUAAUCCUCUAGUAUAGGCCAUUCUCUGUCCUACUCUCUCGAGCUUUUCGCCGUACACUAUCUUUCCGGUCUCUAGGUCUAUGGUUCCCCCAUGACCAAAGAACCAAUACUUGGCACACUCGGGCCAGUGCAUUGAUUCUGGUUCGAUCCCUCUCCCAAGAAUCUCCUGUUCCAGCUUUUGCCACUUAGGAAUAGCAGUCCUGUAGCCACCUGAACCCAAGUGAUGGUGGUAUUGCUUUUGUUUAGCAUUUUCUUGAUUCUUGAUCAUCCGUGCCUGACCCUCUUCUGAGUUCUUAAACUCUACGAACUCAUCCAAAAAUGCCUCAACUUGAAGUAGGCCUUAUUGGUGAAAUCUGGUGUCCGGCCUUGUGCAACAAAAGUUUUGUAUAAUGUCUUCUUCCAAGCCUGAAAUUGUUUGGCCAUCUUCUGCAUAGCCCAGAUUUUAACCUUCUCCUUCAAAGCUUCAUCCUGUGUAUCGAGCGUGAAAUGUUGAAGGAUAUCUUGCCAAAUCAAUUCCUUGUCACGAUCUGAGACAAAACUAAUAUUAGGGUUAUCUUUCUGUUGCCUCCAUUCACGAGCACUGACCGGGAGCCUAUCCCUUACAAUGUAGCCACAGUGCGCAACAAAUUUUUUAGAAUUAGCUCCAAGUACUUGUCCUGUACCCUCAUGGAAUUCCGACAGAAUGUACCGACCCUCCAACGGCUUCUUCGGGCCGCGCACUUUUCUACUCUUCUCAGAAGUUGUCGCCGAUUUAGAGGGCUACACAAACAAGUAUAAAUAUAUUAGUAUAAAUGUCAUUUAUUUUUAUUUCAUAUAUAUACAUAUAUACUAGAUUGUAGAUAGACCUGAUCAGGAUUGUCUCCCACAAGUUCUUUAUAAUCAGCAAAGUACUGACUCCCAUCAUCUUCGCCUUGGGGAUCUGGAUUGGCACCGCUGUUGAUUAGGUCCAUCAUUGCAUCAUCCAUGUUGUCAUUCGGAUUGGCCAUUUCUGCAAAUUUAAUCAAGUGUUAAAAGUUUUUGACGCGAUCAACAAAAAUUAUUUGGAUAGGCUAAACUUAGACAAUAUUCGAUACAACAACUAAGAUAAAUUAUAAAAUAGAAAUUAUACAUCUCAUCUCAAUAUCUAUCCCUACUAACUAAUUACAACAUAGGAUAAAUUAUAUCAUAUAAAUUAUAUAAUACAAAAGAUAAAUUAUAAAAUAGAAAUUAUACAUCUCAUCUCAAUAUCUAUCCCUACUAACUAAUUACAACACAGGAUAAAUUAUAUAAUACAAAAGAUAAAUUAUAAAAUAGAAAUUAUACAUCUCAUCUCAAUAUCUAUCCCUACUAACUAAUUACAACAUAGGAUAAAUUAUAUCAUAUAAAUUAUAUAAUACAAAAGAUAAAUUAUAAAAUAGAAAUUAUACAUCUCAUCUCAAUAUCUAUCCCUACUAACUAAUUACAAUAUAGGAUAAAUUAUAUCAUAUAAAUUAUAUAAUACAAAAGAUAAAUUAUAAAAUAGAAAUUAUACAUCUCAUCUCAAUAUCUAUCCCUACUAACUAAUUACAACACAGGAUAAAUUAUAUCAUAUAAAUUGUAUAAUACAAAAGAUAAAUUAUAAAAUAGAAAUUAUACAUCUCAUCUCAAUAUCUAUCCCUACUAACUAAUUACAACACAGGAUAAAUUAUAUCAUAUAAAUUGUAUAAUACAAAAGAUAAAUUAUAAAAUAGAAAUUAUCCAUUUUAUCUCAAUAUCUAUCCCUACUAACUAAUUACAACACUGGAUAAAUUAUAUCAUAUAAAUUAUAUAAUACCAAAAAUAAAUUAUAAAAUAGAAAUUAUACAUCUCAUCUCAAUAUCUAUCCCUACUAACUAAUUACAACACAGGAUAGUAAUGGAAUAAAUUCUAAUUUUUAUUUUGAUUAAAGUAAUGGAAUAAAUUCCAAUUUUUAUUUAAAUUAAAGUAACUUGUGUUUUCUAUAUUCAAGUUCAACUAUACACAACAAGGUUUUUAAUUAUGUCUCAAGUAAGUUUAUAGUAUAAAAAUAUAUAAAUAAUUAAUCUAAUAAUAUUUAUAUCUUUUAUAGAAAUGUCAUAAAAAUUUUAAAUUGUUUGAUUUUUAAAAAGUGUACGUUUCGUGAGCGCAUGUGUUAAGUCGAUCGGAGUACAACAAGUGUAGAUGUAGGAGUACGUUUUGUCGAGAGGUGCGUAUUUCUCGUGGGCAUGCGUUUGGGAACCGAUUCAUAGUUUUGAUUCAAAUAAAAUUCACUAAAAAUGAUUUUUAUCAUGCGUUUAGGCCACAACAGAUUCACAGUUUAAAUUAUAGUUUUAAUUCAAAUAAAAUUCACUAAAAUGAUUUUUAUCAUGCGUUUGGGAACAGAUUCAUAGUUUUCAUUCAAAUAAAAUUCACUAAAAUCAUCUCAUUCAUACAACAUAUCAUCUCAUUCAUACAACAAAUCAACAAUUCAUACAACACAUCAUCAAUAAUCAUUUUUUUUCUCUGUGUACGUGCUCACCCUCGACGACGACGGCGCGGGCGUUCUCUGGUCGGGGAGGAGACGGCUGGGGGCGCUCUGACGAGGGCGAGGAGGCGGCCGCGGGGGCGCUCUGACGAGGGCGAGGAGGUGGCCGCGGAGGCGAUGAGGACGAGGAGGUGGCGCCGGAGAAGCUCGAAGGCGGCACGGCGGCGUGACGACUACGUACGGCUCGGGGAUGACGAGGAGGCGGCGCUCGUCCGGGAGUGUCUCUACGCCGGAGAAGAAGGAGGCAGCGGCGGCUCGGGCAGGAUGUGGAGGCAGCGCGGGGAGCGGCGGCGGUGAAGACGGCUAGGGCAACGUCGAUGUGGAGGAUGAAGACGAUAGUUUUCUUAUAUACACGCGGGGACCUUAAGUCCCGGUGCGUAGCACCAACCGGGACUAAAGACCUUUAGUCCCGGUUGGUGACCGGGACUAAAGGUCCACCCUUUAGUCCCGGUUUCUGGCUAGAACCGGGACUAAAUAUAUUUUUUAGUUUCUUAUUUAUUUAUGCAUACAAUAAUUAGAUUAAUAUUGUUAAUUGCAUAGUAAAUAGAAUAAUAGGUAUUAAUUUGUUAAAAAUAAUAGUUCCAUUUCUUUUUGUCUAAUUGCUUACAUAAUAAAUUUGGAAACAUAAAAUCUUUUCAUCACUUAUAUUAGCAAACUUAAAUAUGAAAAAUAAUUAGUAUUUUGUUAAUGCAAAAAUGUAUUAUUUAAUUUUAAUAUCUUAAAGCAGAUGUUUUUGAUAAAAAAUUUGUUUGUGCAAUAUUUAAACGUAAAUUUUGUUUAUUUAUCAUAAUUUAUCUCCAAAAACAUGAUAUACGUGAUAUUCACCAUUACAUCGGAUUAUUUUUUAAAAUUUUUUCUCUAUUUCUUAUUUAUUUAUGCUUACAACAAUAUUCACCAUUACAUCGGAUUAUCUCUAACAACUUUGUAUUCAAAUUUUUUUCAUUUCAAGUCAUCAAAUGGGUCAUUUUACCAAGUUUGACCAAAGUCAAAGCAUUGGUUUUUAGAAACACACACUUUGACCGAACCCUAUAUGGUCCCAAAUGGAAAAGUAAUGAAUACAAAGUUUGUUGCACUCAUCAAGUUCUACAUUUUGUCUAAUGGUCAACUUUUCUUUUGGAAAAGUUUGAACCACUCAAUUUUGAAUUUUGAUAGACUUCAUAGCCACGCAACGGUUUUCGGAACCCUAGAUGGUCUCGAACGGAAAAGUCAUGAAUACCAAUAUUGUUCCACUCAUCAAAAUCUACAUUUAAUAUAUAGACCAUUUUUGCAUUUAACAAAGUGUUAGGAAGGUGUAGUUCAAAAUCCACAAUUGACACAUGUAGUUUCAUAUAGUUUGUGUGAGAUUCAAGAAUUGGUGGGUAUUGUGAACUUUAACUUUCUCAAAUGGAAAAAUUGUUUAUAUAAAAAGUUUAGAUCUUGAUGAUAUCUAACAACUUGGUAUUCAAAAUUUUUUCAUUUUAAGUAAUUUAGUUUGUCAUUUGACCAAGUUUGACCAAGUUUGACUAUUUUUGCAUUUGACAAAUAAUUGACACAUCUCUUAUAAUAGCAAACUUAAAUGUCAUUUAAUUAUUUGAAAUGAUAUAAAAUAAGAAAAACUAAUAUAAUCGUCUUAAGUUACAAUUGUCACAUACACAUACUCUAUUGCAAUCUAUUUAUUAGGCGGGCACAAUAGUGAUCUUCUUUUUGACGUAUGUUCCUUGGUCAUGAUCUUGACGUAACCAUGGACUGUCCUCAGCAUUUAUCAGUAUGCUCGGAUCUUUGGUCACAUUGAAAGGCGUGAUUCGGUCAUCUCUUUCAUAAUCUUCUGAAAUAUCUGACUUGUCCUCAAUUCCCACAAUGUUUCUUUUCCCUGAGAGAACUAUAUGGCGUUUUGGCUCGUUUGUUGAUUUGUUGUCAUUUUUCCCUCUCUUCUGUUUCGUAGACAUGUCUUUCACAUAGAACACCUGAUUCACAUCAGCAGCAAGGACGAAUGGUUCAUCUUUGUAACCAACAUUGUUGAGGUCCACUGUUGUCAUUCCAUAGUCUUUGUUAACUGUCACCCCGCCUCCGGUAACCUUCACCCAUUGGCACCUGAACAAAGGGAUUUUAAAAUUAGGUGCGUAGUCUAGUUCCCAAAUCUCCUCUAUACGGCCAUAAUAUGUUUGUCUGUUUCCAUUCGGGUCUAUGGCGUCUACGCGAACUCCACUAUUUUGGUUCGUGCUUCUUUUAUCUUGGCCUAGGGUGUAAAAUGUAUUUCCAUUUAUCUCGUACCCUUUGUACGUGAGGAUGUGCCAUGAUGGUUGCCUAGCCAACAAAUACAGUUGCUCAUCAAUCUAGUCAUUACCCUGACAUUCUUUUCGUAACCAACCACUGAAAGUGUCUAUGUGCUGACGCAUAAACCAAGCUUCAUUCUUCUCUGGGAAUUGCGAUCGUAGGAAGUCCUUGUGUUUCGUGACAUACGGCUCCACCACGGAUGAGUUUUGAAGAACUAUGUAGUGUGCUUUAUUGAAAGAAUCAUCCCCCGUACCGAUGUAUGUUUUCUUUCCUAGUGUUUCCUUUCCACUCAGUCUCCCCUCGUGGCGCGAUUCAGGAACACCAAUUGGGUCAAGUUCAGGAAUGAAUUCAACACAGAACUCAAUGACCUCCUCUGUCCCAUAGCCCUCGGCGAUGCUUCCUUCUGCGUGAAUCGCCGCUUCUAANNNNNNNNNNNNNNNNNNNNNNNNNNNNNNNNNNNNNNNNNNNNNNNNNNNNNNNNNNNNNNNNNNNNNNNNNNNNNNNNNNNNNNNNNNNNNNNNNNNNGACCCAAAAUAUGGAUCUAAUUGACUAGAUGAACUAGGAGGUGUGUCAUGAUAUCAAAGAAGGAUGGAGGGAACACUAACUCAAAGCAGAGAAGACAUUGAACCACAUCAUUCUGUAGAGCAGCUAGUUCCAGUGGAUUGAUUGCCUUCUGAGAAAUUGCAUUGAGGAAUGCACAUAGCUUUACGGUGGCCAGACGUACAUGUGGAGGUAGAAUUCCUCUUAAUGCAACUGGAAGCAAUUGUGUCAUAAGCACAUGGCAGUCAUGCGACUUUAAGUUCAGAAAUUUCUUCUCAGGCACAUUAAUUAUACCUUUUAUAUUAGAGGAGAAUCCAGAUGGGACCUUGAUGCUGCUUAAGCAUUCAAACAUGAUUUCUUUCUUCAUUGCUAAGAGUGUAGCUAGCAGGUCUUAAAUAUUGGCGUCCAUCAUGUGUCUUCUCUGGAUGCAGGUUGUCUCGUUCUUCCAUGCGUUGCAAGUCUUGUCGUGCUUCAAGUGAAUCCUUAGGCUUACCAUAUACACCCAUGAAUCCUAGAAGGUUCACACAAAGAUUCUUUGUUAGGUGCAUGACGUCGAUCGCAUUCCGGACCUCUAGGACUUGCCAAUAGGGUAGCUCCCAAAAUAUUGACUUCUUCUUCCACAUGGGUGCAUGACCCGCUGCAUCUUUUGGAACUGGUUGGCUGCCUUGUCCCUUACCAAAAACUACUUUCACAUCCUUAACCAUCUCAAAUACAUCUUCUCCAGUUCUGUUGCGAGGCUUGCAUCGGUGGUUUGCCUUACCUUUAAAAUGCUUUCCUUUCUUUCUAACUGGAUGAUUCAUAGAAAGAAAUCGAUGAUACCCAAGGUACACGACCUUGCUGCAUUUUUUCAAAUAUAUACUAUCAAGGUCAUCAAAACAAUGUGUGCAUGCAUUAUAUCCCUUGUUUGUCUGCCCUGAAAGAUUACUUAGAACAGGCCAAUCAUUGAUUGUCACAAACAACAGUGCUCGUAGGUCGAAGUGUUCCUGUUUGUACUCAUCCCACACACGAACACCUGUUUCACUCCAUAAAAGAAGGAGUUCUUCAAUUAAUGGCCUUAGAUAGACAUCAAUGUCAUUGCCCGGUUGCUUCGGGCCUUGGAUAGCACCGGCAUCAUAAUGAACUUUUGCUUCAUGCAUAACCAUGGAGGAAGGUUGUAGAUACAUAGUGUAACAGGCCAAGUGCUAUGACUACUGCUUUGCUCACCAAAAGGAUUCAUACCGUCCGUACUUAAAGCGAACCUUAAGUUUCUUGCGUCUUUUGCAAACUCUAGAAAUUCCCUGUCUAUUGCUCUCCACUGGGACCCAUCAGCAGGGUGUCUCAACAUGUUGUCUACUUUACGGUCUUCUUUGUGCCACCGCAACAAUUUUGCAUGGUCCUUAUUUCUAAAAAGACGUUUCAGACGUGGUAUUAUAGGAGCAUACCACAUAACCUUUACAGGGAUUUUUUUCUGGGACAUUCUUCCCCCUCAACAUCGCCAGGGUCAUCUCGCCUGAUCUUAUACCGUGAUGCUUUACAUACGGGGCAUUCAUCUAAAUUCUCGUAGUCCUUGCCACGGUAUACGAUGCAGUUGUUAGGACAUGCAUGUAUCUUCUUUAUUCAUUAGGCUUCGGCAGCAUUUUUUUGGAUCUUCAGUAAUUGCCCAAAUGCCUUAUCUGAUACACCAUUCUGUGCCGUCCAUUUUAACAAUUCUAGUGUUGUACCCAGUUUUUUUUCCCAUCCUGGGCAGAUGGAUAUAGUAAUUUCUUGUGAUCUUCUAACAUGUGGUCAAACUUUGUCUUCUCUUUUUCACUUUCGCAAUCUUUUUGUGCAUCACAAAUGACAUCACCAAGAGCAUCAUCUUCAACAGGUGCGCCUUCUGCACCUGCCUCAUCUUCAGCUUCUCCCAUUGUUGUAUCACCGAAGUCACCGUAUUGAGCAAUAAUGUCGUCAGGCUCCAACUGUUCUUCUUCACCUUCUUCCAUCAUUAUCCCGUUUUCUCCAUGCUUGGUCCAACAAAUACAGUUUGGCAUAAAACCCGACUUCAACAAAUGUGAGUGAAUAUUUCUAGAGCUAGAAUAUUCCUUCAAAUUCUGACACAAGGCACAUGGGCAACAUCUGAAUCCAUCCCGCUUGUUUUCCUCGGCCACUCUUAAGAAAUAAUGCACACCAUCAAUGAAUUCUUUGGAGCGGCGAUCGGCAUUGUACAUCGAAUGACGUGUCAUUGUCUGCAUUGCAACGUAAAGUAUUAUAAGUUUCUAAUUUUUUUAUAAAGAAAUUAAAGUAACAAAUAACCUAAAAUUCUCUAUUUCUGGUUUUUCUAAACCAACAAAAUUAAAAAGACAUAAAAGUUCUCUAUUUUCUAACUAAUCAUGAAAUGUGGCAUGCAUACUAGUUAUAAUUAACUAAUUAACCAUGUCAUAAAGUUCAACUUAAAGAAAUAUAAGUUUCUAAUUUUUAAUAGAGAAAUUAAAGUAACAAAAAAACCUAAAAUUCUCUAUUUCUAAUUUUUCUAAACAACCAAAAUUAAAAAAGCACAAAAGUUAUCUAUAUUUCUAACUAAUCAUGAAAUGUGGUAUGCAUACUAGUUAUAAUUAACUAAUUAACCUUGUCAUAAAUUGCAAAUUAAAGUAUUAUAAGUUUCUAAUUUUUAAUAGAGAAAUUACAGUAAAAAAAAACCUAAAAUUCUCUAUUUGUAAUUUUUCUAAACAAGCAAAAUUAAAAAAGCACAAAAAUUCUCUAUUUUCCUAAAUAAUCAUGAAAUGUGGUAUGCAUACUAGUUAUAAUUAACUAACUAAAUCGGUCAAAAAUUGCAAAUUAAAAUAUUAUAUGUUUUUAAUUUUUUUCUAAACUAAUUAAAAUAAAAAAACAUAUUACCACUAUUUCUCUAAAAAAACGCGUCGCUUUUGAAAUGGCGAUGAAGCUAAUAACCUCUUAAAAAACCAUAAAAUAAAAAACAAUAUACAUAACACUAGGAAAUGACAUAUGCCGCUUCUAAAUGUUGAGAAGAUGAAGCUAGUGACCUCUUAACAAGUCGAUGACGGUGUAGAAACGAUGAAAUGAAUCAAUAGCCGGAGAUGAGAGCAAGAACAAGCAACUCCAAAUGAAGAACACAGCAAAAGAGUGAAGAUCGAUGGGCUCGGCCACGGGAAGAAGAGUUCAAAUAUGAGGAGGGACAUUUAGUCCCGGUUCCUUUUAAAAACCGGGUCUAAAUUCCAACACUAGUCCCGGCCGGUGGGACGGACCGGGACAACAGCUUUUAAUCCCGGUUGGUGGUACCAACCUGGACUAAAGGCUAGGCUUUUGUCCCGGUUGGUGAGACCAACUGGUCCCUCUGCCGAUGUCUGACACAAUAGCCGUUGGGCAGGGGACUUUUAGUCCCGGUUAGUCUCACCAACCGGGACUAAACACUAGUAUAGAGAGAUACUAUACUGGCGGUUCGCAACCCCUUUGUACAGGCGGAUUGACGAACCGCCAGUGGCUAUAGGCCUGUGGAAAUAAAAGUUUCCACAGGCGUAACCGCCUGUACAAACAGAUUUCUACAGGCGGUUCAGUUAUGAUAUCCGCCUGUGGAAAUCAAUUUCUACAGGCGGUUCUGUUAUGAGAACCGCCCGUAGAAAUUGGAUUCUACAGGCGGUUCUCAUAACAGAACCGCCUGUGGUAAGAUUUUCCAAUUUAACCCUAUUUUCCAGCAAACCUUAUUUUUAAUAUAUAUAUAUAUAUAUAUAUAUAUAUAUAUAUAUAUAUUAUAUACAUUAAUAUUGAAACUAUGUUAGGCUACAAGAUUCAACCAAUGCAACAUGCAAUAUAUUUAUAUAUACCAUUACUUUGUACAUAAAAUUAUAUUAAUUACAAACAUCACACAUCAAAGUUUUUUGUUUACACACAUAUGAGGUUUCACAUCUGAAACCUCUGCUCUAAUAACCCGAUCGAGAUAGCUUUAGCCUACUAAUAUCUCUUAGCGCUAUAAACUUAGGCUUUGCUAGGACGCUGGUCGGGUCGUGAUAUUUCCCUUCGGUGGGAAUAGCUUCUCUCAAGAGAAAAGUGCAGAGGUCCUCAACUAUGUUAUAUAGAACAGCUUGAGUCACGCUCUUCGCCUUUUCCAACUUAUGUUGCUGCAGAGGAAGUUAGAAACAUCAUAAAUUUAUAGUUCAUAUAACACAUGCUUAUUAGCAACAAAAAAUGACACAAAUAAUAUAAACGACUAUUAGAGCAAUACCUUAGAAGGGUUAGUUACAUAUCUUCCGGUCUCUCUCAUGAACUCGCAGACGUAGAAUCCACAGUGGACCGAUCCGACUGGUUGCUUAUGGCACUGAUGUAUGACAAAAAAGUAGAUAUUUAUUAGUUGCAACAUCGUCAUAUGCAUAUUAUAUUUAUAAAAGACAGCUUGUGAUAUUUUGGUACGUACCGGCCAUUUAUAAAAUAAUCUCAAUGGCUGCCCCGGUUCUGAUGAAUCACACCUUCCACCUUUGAUCUUAUAAUACCUAUAGGCCCUAUAGUAUCGAAUACACAAUCCUGAAGUUAUUCUGAAACUCUUAUAAAAGUAGGUAUUAAUAUUUAAUGUACUCAGCUUACCGUUCCAAGUGUGUAACGAAUUUUGCAUAACUUGAAGGAUCAUAGUGUGCAGAGUCUAGGACUAGCACAGGUCCUAGACUAGGAUUAAUGAGGAGGCAGAUCCAGUGGUCCCUGAGAGAAUCAAAUUUAUGAUGCAAGUGCCCACUGAAAUUACUAAUACGACGAUGAAUACAAAUUGACAUUUACCCAAAGUUGUAUGGGGCAACAACACAUUCUCAAUCUUGAUACUUGAGCAGUGCCAAGGCUAUGUAGAGGUCGUAUUUACAUUCAUAAUCUAGUCGACUUUCAUCUAUUAUCUUCUUACGCUCAGCGGGGUCCAAACCUUCUAAGGAGUCGUGUUUGUCUCUGAUUCUGAAGUUGUGCUACUCCUCGCAUAUCUUCAUCGGGCUCAGAUACGCAACCCUUUUACUGGCAGACCUAUCCGGAUCUGAACCGUACCGCAUCUCUUGUUGUUCAAAAUUCAUUCUGCAAUGAGCACUUGUAUGUUAGAUGUUGAAAAUUGAUGCAACUCAUGAAUUAUUACAAAGAGAUGGUACGAGUGACACUUACAAUGCAAACACGGUUACCAGCUGCACGUCUAGUCUCUGCAGGUUCAUCAUUAGCCACAUUUCCUCGAAGGUAACGAUUGCCUUUGUCCGCUCACUUUUGAAUGCUGUUGGUGGUAUAAUCACAUUGAUCGUGUGAAUGCCUACAGAAGCUGCUCUCAUAUACCAGUCAUGCAUCCUUUUUAUACCAGCUGGGAUCUUUUUGAGUUUGUCCCAACUAAGUAGUGGUCUGCCUGGCUCAUAUUUAGUAGGGACAUAUUUGUAAUCAUCCUUCGUUGGUGGCCUGAUAUUGACAAUACGUGUUUCAAAGCUUUUCGACCCCUCCUCAUGCUCUGCUAAGUCAACAAGUUUCGAAGUGCGGCUCCUUGCAAUUCCGGACAGAAAUAGGGCCGUACCAGCGGCCUUCUUCUUUGGCUCGAACGGGGAAACCAAUUUGGGGACCGAGAAUUUUGUUUUCUUUGGUUGCGGUGGUGUCUUAUCAUCUUUUUUUGGUGCCGGUGGUGUGGAAGAUUGCGGUGUUGAAGCAUGGGGUUUAGGUGAUGGUGGUGAAGCCUGGGGUUUAGGUGAUGGUGGGGGAGUGGGUUUUGAUGGUGGCGGGGAUGGUGGUUGAGGCAUUAUUGGUGAUGGUGGUGGUGGGGAUUGUGGAUGCAAGAUUGGAGAGGUUGGUGGAGUGGGAAGAGAUGUGGGAUGGGACGACUCCUGAGUCUGCGGCACUUCUCGGGGUGAUGGUUGUGGUACCUGAGACAGCAGGACGUCCCGUCGAGGCCAAAGAAUAAAAUUCUUGAUAGCUUGUCCCAGUUUCUCAAUGCCCUCGGGACUGGGAAUGUCUAGCAUGUCGUCCUCAUAUCCUUGGACAACUGUCAACACUUCCACCCUGCAGUAGUCCUCAGGGAUCCUCACUACCAUGGAAUUGACGCCCCGGGAUCGCAAGUCCUAUGGCUACUUUCCUUGUACGGUUAUUGUUAAAACCAUACCUUAUGACUAGGGAGCAAGGCACAGGACUAUCGAUCUCAUCAACUGGAUAGCGGAUCUUGUCUCCGGUAGAGGCAAUACUACUCGGGACGAUCGGAGCUUGUUCUGUUGUUGUCGGGGCGACGACUAGCUGCAUUUGAGGAGGCUGCUGGCCACUUAAUUGGCUAGACAUUGCGGUCGCCAAUCGCUGCAUCAACUCAGGAGGAGGAUUGGAGAGGAUUUUAGACAUCACCUCUUCGACUUCUCUCUUAGCCUCCUCCUUAAAAUAAUUAGACAUUUCUGCCUUGUAGCGAUCCCGUUUCCUAUACAUUGCUUCCCACUCUGGUCUGAAUCCUUCUUUCCAUCCUUCUUUUGAUGAGAUGCCUCGUACACGACCAGGAUGCUCUGGGUUACCCAGAGCAACAGUAAGGACAUCUUUCUCCCUUUGGGGCUUAAAUUCGCCCGCUUUCUGCUUAGCUGCCACAGCGAAAAUAUUCUUCGCUGCCUCUUCAACCAUUGGGUCAAAAAAUGAUAAGCCAGACUUGGCUUCCUUUGCCGGUACACGAGCACGAAUCCACCUCGAGCCUCUACGACCAAGUUGGUCAGGAAGCGCUGGCAGACCCUUAGCCCUCUGCGCUUCAUCCUCUUGCUCCCAUUGGGCAACCUUGCGCUGGUAACCACCUGUGCCUAGGUGAUGGUGGUACUUGUUCCUUUUUGCAAGCUCGGAUUUAGAUUCGCUCAAAGCUUUGAACUCCUCGGUACUCGUCUGCUCUAAAAACACCGCCCAUUGACCAGCAGUGAUUUUAUACCUUUUUGUCGGGUCCAACCCUUUCUUUGCCCACUUAGAAUUCAACUCGGAUUUGUAAUUCCUAAACAUGAUUCCCCACUGCUUCAAUGUGUACUCCUUUACUAGGUCUUCUGAACCCUGAGGUAAAACAAACCUUGUAAGCAGCUUGUCCCACAUUCUUGUGAUUUCAUUUUGGUCCACUUUUGCCCACUCCCUGACUGUGAUGUCAAGAUGGUCCCUAACUAAGAAUCCAAGUGCGUUACGCCACUUAGGUAAGGCCUCUGGAGGAGCUAGGGGUUGUCCUGUCGGGCUCACAUCUGUCAUUCUAAAUGUGACUUUUGGAAACUGAUUCAAUCCUCUGUCACCUCAUUUCCUUUUCCUAUCAUCAGUCUUCUCGGUGGUCUUCUCGGUGGUUGUCUCCGUCGUCAGUUCGGGUGCACCUUCAUGUGUGAAUUCUUCUUGGAAUAGGAUCUCUUUCAGCUCAUGAAACUGAGAUAACACCUCCUGUUCAUGUUAAAAGUUAAACACAUAAAUCAUUCUUGUACAUAUACUGAGGGAAAUAAAAGUUAGAAAGAUUUAAUUAUGGAUGACUAAUUCAUCACCUCAUCUACUUCUGGAAUGUAAUCAGGGUCACGUUCUAAUUCACGACGAGCGUUCCUCUCUAUGCGAGGAUCUGGAAUGUCGCUAGGGGAGGUCUCGUACGAAGGACUUGAUUCAUGUUCUUUUGCAUUCUCUGUGUGGUCUGACCCUUGCGCUUGCUCAGUGCUGUGUGAUACUUGCACCUUCUCUGUGUGGUCCGAACCUUUUGCCGGUGCUUGGUCGAUGCGGUCAGACCCUGACGCUUGGUUUGGGGUUGGAGAAGUCAUCGUGCUAAUCUAUACAAAUAAUUACUUAGCAUUAUAAAUAAUGUAUAUACAUAGACACUUAAACUAAAAGCAAAUAUAAAGUUUAUUAAUUGUUUAUUAUUUUUACACAUAAAUAAAUAUAUGCAAUUUACAUAUAUAUAUAUAUAUAUAUAAUUGCAUUAUAAAUAAUUGGAUUAUUAAAAAGAAAUAUUCACUACUUAGCUUAUGCUAUAAAGUAUAUACAUAGACACUUAAACUAAAAGCAAANNNNNNNNNNNNNNNNNNNNNNNNNNNNNNNNNNNNNNNNNNNNNNNNNNNNNNNNNNNNNNNNNNNNNNNNNNNNNNNNNNNNNNNNNNNNNNNNNNNNNNNNNNNNNNNNNNNNNNNNNNNNNNNNNNNNNNNNNNNNNNNNNNNNNNNNNNNNNNNNNNNNNNNNNNNNNNNNNNNNNNNNNNNNNNNNNNNNNNNNNAAAUAAUUAUUUAGGAUAUGCAUAAUGUAUAUUUAUCUAGGACAAUUAAUAAUUAAUAAUUAUUUAGGACAAUUAAUAAUUAUUUAGGACAAUUAUUAAUUAUUUAGGACAAUUAAUAAUUAAUAAUACAUCAUAUACAUUUAUUUAGAACAAUUAAUAAUUAUUUAGGACAAUUAAUAAUUAAUAAUUAUUUAGGACAAUUAAUAAUUAAUAAUACUUCAUAUACAUUUAUUUAGAACAAUUAAUAAUUAUUUAGGACAAUUAAUAAUUAUAAGAAAAAUAAAACAUCAUAUACAUUUAUUUAAGACCAUUAAUAAUUAAUAAUUAUUUAAGACAAUGAAUAAUUAAUAAUACAUCAUAUACAUUUACUUAGAACAAUUAAUAAUUAUUUAGGACAAUUAAUAAUUAUAAAAAAAAUAAAACAACAGAUACAAUUAUUUAGGGCAAUUAAUAAUUAAAAAUAUACAUCAUAUAAGAAAAAUAAAAAAUAAGAAAACAAAAAAUGGCCGCUGGUGGGCCGGCCCAGCUGCGCAGCCGGCCCACCGGCCCCUGCCCCUCCCUCUCCCCCUCACCCUCUCCACCGGCCGCAGCACGCGCCACCGCCGCCGCCUCGGUUGCGCGCAGCCCGAGCCUUCCCCGCGUGGAUCCGCAGCUGCAGGCGCAGCCCUGCCACUGACGACGGCCGUCCACCCGCCUCAGGCCGCGUCGCCGGCGGCGAGCAGCGGAGAGCACGCGCGGUGCCUCCCUCUCCCCGACCCCGUGCGCUCCCGCGGCGACCGAGCGAGCUUACCUCGACGGGAACGACGGAUGCUCGACGGAGAACUCGACCCCGUGAUGCUCGACGGAUGCUCGACGGCGCCGUGGAAAUUUUUAGCAGCCUGCCGGCGUGGAUUCGAACUCUGGCGCGCCUUCGGACUUAGAAAAUUUCGGGGGUCUGCGCGCGGCCUUUAUAUGGCCUCUAUUUCUACAGGCGGUUGGCACUGACCACCGCCUGUAGAAAUGCUUUCUACAGGCGGUGGUCAGUGCCAACCUCCUGUAGAAAUAGUUUUCUACAGGCGGCUGCCAUUGACNNNNNNNNNNNNNNNNNNNNNNNNNNNNNNNNNNNNNNNNNNNNNNNNNNNNNNNNNNNNNNNNNNNNNNNNNNNNNNNNNNNNNNNNNNNNNNNNNNNNAUUUGAAAUUUCACAUUUCCACAGCUACACACACGGUUUUCGAAACCCGAGACAUCCCCAACUCGAAAAGUCAUGAAUACAAAGUUUGUUCCACUCAUCAAGAUAUACAUUUCAUACAUAGGACAUUUUUGCAUUUGACAAAGCGUUUCAAAAGUGUAGUUCUAAAUCCACAAGUCUCACAUAUAGUUUCAUAAAGUUUGUGUCACAUUCAACACUUUGUGACUAGAGUUUACCGAUCCUUUCCCAUAUGCCAAAAUAUCCUAUGUAUGGAAUGUGUAUCUUGAGGAGCUCUAACACCCAUGUAUUCAAAAGUUUUUCAUUUGAGGUCAUUUAGUGCCUAGUUUGACCUAGUUUGACCAAGUCAAAUCUUGGAUUUUUCUGAAAAGUCACUUUGACCGGACCCUUGGUAGCCUCAGAUACAAAAGUCAUGAUUACAAAGUUUGUCCAGCUCAUCAAGAUACACAUUGUGUGUAAGGGUCAACUUUUCAUCUGAGAGAGUUUGGACCACUCAAAUUUUGAAAUUUCAAAUUUCCACAACUACACACACGUUUUCAAAACCCGAGACGUCCCCAACUCGAAAAGUCAUGAAUACAAAGUUUGUUCCACUCAUCAAGAUAUACAUUUUAUAAAUAGGACAUUUUUGCAUUUGACAAAGCGUUUACAUGAUACAAUGUAGGCCGCUACUAUUCUUCCUUGACCAUCAGGGCGCACCCAUGGCAAAAAACUCUGUGGGAUGCUUCGCUCAAUAUUUUUUAUCUUCAUAGGAUGGUCCACAAAGAGGGACAUAUCACUAAACUGGUUAAAAUCCUCCAGAUCCGAUACACCGUCAACUCCAACUGCUUGUUGCUUUCCUGGAAAAACUACAUGCUUCGGUUUGUCGGUACUUUUCUUCUCAUUCUUAGAAAGGAUCUGCUCAGCAUAGAAAACCUGUGCAGCACGAUUAGCAAGGAUCCAUGGGUCAUCUUUAUAUCCUACCUUACUUAGAUCAAGAACUCUGACCCCAUAAUUAUCCACUGUGACAUGUUUAUCUUCAACCCAUUGACAUCGAAACACAGGGAUCUAAAAUGUACCAUAGUCUAGUUCCCAUAUGUCCUCGAUGAAGCCAAAGUAUGUAAUAAUAUCACCAGUUUUGUCAUCUACGGCCUCGCAUCGAACACCACUAUUUUGUGUCAUGCUCUUUUGGUCCUUAGACUUGGUAUGAAAUGUGAAUCCACUAAUGUCAUAGGUUUGCCAUGUUAUGACUUGGCGUGAUGGUCCAGAUGCCAAAGCCUUGAUGGUUUGUUUCUCAAUUGUUUCCCAUAUGGAAUGUCCUGCUCCCUUAGUCAUGUGUACAACUGUUUCUUAUGUUCCUUCAUUACCCAAUCCUCUGUUUGCCUAGGAUUAUGUUCUCGAAGCUCAUCCAUGUGUUGUUCAAUCAAAUGCUCCAUUAUCGAGAGCUGAUGUAAGAUGCUGUGAUGUGCCUCAAGUAUUGUAUUAUAAUCUGGUGGGAUGAAUAAUUUUCGUCCAAUCCUCCCACAUCCAUGUAGCCUACCCUCAUGUCUUGACGGAGGCAAACCUAUUGCAACCUGGUCUUUUAGGACAUUAUUCCAGAAUGGUCCACCGGACUCAAUCGCCUCUUCGGUACAAUACCCCUCUAUCAUGGACGCCUCGGGACGAGCACGAGUUGAUACAUAGCCAUUUAGUAUUGACAUAAAACGCUCGUAAGUCCACAUUUCAUGCAGGUACAUGGGACCCAGUGCCUGUAUUUGUGGAACCAAGUGCACCACAAGGUGCACCAUGAUAUCAAAGAAUGAUGGGGGGAAACACAUCUCAAACUGUGACACUGUUUCCACUGCGAAUUCCUGAAGAGAUUCUAACUCAUCACGGUCAAUUAAAAAUAAAAUAAGACCUAACAAUUAAAUCAAAUUGAAAAAGGAAUCAUGGAAAUGGUGAGAGGAGAGGCAACAUCUUAUACAAGAGGGCACAAAAAUGCUUAUCGCGUAAUUAAAUCAAAUUUACAUAAAAAAUAACAUCCUAAACAAUAUAAUUUAAAAAACUAAAAAGAAAAAUUCCCUUUCUUAGCCACCUCCACCUCCUUUCAAGAAAUGAAGAUCAAAACCUCAAACCUUGUAUUCUGACCUGUUGAAAAGUUAGUAAAUUAAUUGAAAUAUUGUCUACGAAUAUCUGUCAUCAAAAAUAAAAGAACACCUAACAAUUAAAUCAAAUUGAAAAAGUAAAACAAGUAUCAAAAAUAAAGACAAAACCAUAAAUAUAUAUCUUUAUAUCACUAAAAUAAAUUUGACAAGGUACAAAAACACUGUUGAUUAAAACUAAAUAUAUUAUAUCACUAAAAAAAUUGAGAAUGAAACAUGGAAAUGGUGAGAGGAGAGGCAACAUAUGAAGCAACCUCAUAUAUAAAAAAUGCUUAUCGCGUAAUUAAAUCAAAUUUACACAAAAAAUAACAUCCUAAACCAUAUAAUUUAAAAAACUAAAAAGAAAACUUAUCUUUCUCUCCCAAGCAUGGAAACACCAUUCAUGGAAACUACUACAUAUAUAUUUCUUGGUUUUACAAAUUAGAGAAGUAAACAUAAAAAACAAGAUAGGAGAGACAUCAUAUAUCCAUCAUAAGCAACUUUAUUUGAGCAAAAUAGACCAUACCUAGCUAUUCUACUCUCUCUCUCUCUCAUGGUGAAACCCUAGAUCCAAAAAGUAGCUCAAAUUGAGCAAGAGGGCACAAAAUGAGGCAUUAGAGGCAUCAACUAACCUUUCUUAGCCACCUCCUUCCAAGAAAUGAAGAUCAAAACCUCCCCCUUGUAUUUUGGAAAAACUGGACCUCCAAGAUGUGCUCCAAUGGAAUGUGGCUGCUACCUACAGUUCUGCCCGAGGAGGAAGAAGGGGUUCUCGGGUAUUUAUAGCAAGAUAAAUCACAGGCAGUUUGUUAUGUGAACCGCCUGUACUGAGCCUUUUAUACAGGCGGUUUUCAAUUCUAGCCCUACAAAUUUUCAACACAGGCGCAUUAUAACUAAAACCGCCUAUAGAAAUGUUUUACCCCCGCCGACUUAGAACCUCUGUGUACUAGUGAAAUAUGUUUUUGUCCCGGACGCUGUUUUGGCCAAGAUUAUUGUUCAUUUUGGGCAUGUGAUCAAAGGCUGGGAGCCAAUUUGUCUCCACACCUGAAAGCUUUGUCUACUGUUUUACAUGCCCAACUCCUUGAAUUAAAAUAGUGACUAUAAAGAGCACUAAAACGGCAAAUUUGUUAAGCUUGGGCUCUCGAUGACUUUCAUGAAGGAACUUGCAUACAACUCCUAUUUUUUCUGUUCCAGGCACAAAGACAACUAAAUAAGCUCUAAGCAUCGUAAAUUAUUCUAAUAUGUGUCACAUCCAUCAAAAUUAGUUUAGCUUAGAAAGGACAAGGGCAAAACAACACAAACAAUAAAUUAAGGAAAGCAAGAUAUGAUAUGGAGGUGAAUGCAUACCAAUCAAGUAGAAAGUGCAAAGUAUAAAUUCUUUGUUCAAUUCAUGAUUAGUGCUCUUCUUUACGAAAGUGUGUUGAGCUGCUGUGAAAUGCUAAAAAUAACUUUACUUAGCAGGCACAUGAGCAAAUAAAAAGCAAAAUUCUAAACAGCAAAAAUUAAGUUGCAAUAUCUGGCAUAUUAGUGUUUGGUUGAGCUGGACCCAAACUUGACAAAUCUCUUGGUGAGAGAAAAACGACCAACAAAUCAAUAACUUCAAAAAAAAAGAAGCAUGUAGACAAGAAGAAAGGAGAGGAAGAUUACCAAGAUGGAUGGAUCUGCCUAUGGAAGCUCCGGAUCCUGCUGUGGAUCCAUCAGAGCAGCCGCCUGUGAGCAGCCCAUGGUGCAGCCGUGCAGGUAGAGAAGAGAGGAGGGAUCUGCUUGAGCUCACACCUACCCCCAGGGCCCUUUUUUUUUCUUUUGGAGGUGCCUAGACACAGAUACAUAAUGGUAUGUCAAUCAAGGGUAGGAGCUGAACCAAAGUGAAUGAGAAAAUUCUAAUGCAGUAAAUAAAAUACACAGUAGGCAAUAAGCACCUGUAUUUUAGAAGAACUAGGGCUCCAGGCCAUGCAUCAACCCAUGGAAACUGUUAAGUAGUCUCAUUGCCCUCUAUGCGCAAUGCUUGUCAUUAGGCAAGUAAUUUUGCCUCAUUGCAAUGCCCAUCAACUCAUUGAUCCUCUCCUCCACAUGUAAAGGAAAAAGGACAUUGCAAGGUUGUUGUUAAAAGAAAACAGUAGAACUGAACUGCGGAGCAAUUGGAUGGCUGAAGAGUACACAGAUUAAUUGGGCAGCUAGAAAAACCCUUUAAAAAAUCAUCUAAGAGGUGAGCUGCAAGUAGAACAGGUCAAAAGAGCAUGAAAUUGUUGCCCAUGAAAUCGAAACAUGUGCUGAACUAUUUGGCAAAAGGCAUUCAAAUUUGUCCAUGAAAUACAUGCUAAACCACCUAGAAUGCAAUUUUACUAAGGUAGUAGAUAUAUCUGGCAUAUACUAUCUGUAAAAUAAUAUGUGUAUUCAUGUACUGAAUACUUCAUAUGGCAAGAAACCUUUGUUAAAACUAAAAACUGCAUACCAUGAUAGAACUGCAUCAAAUGCAUAAGCAAAAAAAAGGUGACAUGGAGAAGAGGCUAAUAAUUUCUGGCAAAUCGGAGUAGAAUAUUUUUGAGGCUACAAACCUGCACCUGUCUCCAGAAGCUGUAGGUAAGUCUGGAAACUUACAAAAAGUUACAUAACUAAUGCAGAUGAGAGUGACAGGAAAGGCCAUCAGUAAGGUAAAUCAUCAUAUAAAUCCUUGUAGUAGCGCAACAGAUUCACUUGCAGCUGAGUGUAUCCAUGUAUGAACAUAGGCUUCGUCUUCCUAUGUUCGAGGCAACCAUCAAGCGUGGAUGACCCAGAAAAUAAAGAAAGCAACACAAUAUAACUCGUUCUUUUACAGCAAAGUGAUAAGCUAAUAUGUAAGAUGCAACGAUUAAUUCUUUAAUACAAAAUAAUUAGGCAUGUGAGAAACUAAGAACCUAUCUAGACUUAAGCAUUAGUUAACUCUACAACAAAAAUCGGACUCAAAGGUAUAUAACAGUAGGCAAAUUUGUCAUCUAUUUUGCCAUGCUGUAUUGGAAGAAAGAAAGAAGCAUUGACCAAGCGUUAUGGCCUAGGCUAAGCACACACCAGAACCUUAGUUGCAGAUGUUUGAAACCUGAAAGAAAGUGGAUUUUCAAGAAAGUGGAGAGAUGGAUAGUAACAAAUACAUUAUUGGCAAUAGGGUUUGCUCAGUAACAGAACAACCAACAUAUUCUAUGAAGCAAAGACAUCAUCGACAAUGAACCAAUGCCUAAUAACAAACACACAAAUUGUAGCAACUAAUGAAAAUAAAACAAAAGAUACAAAAGAGAAUCUAUAAGAUAUAAUGCUAUUGUCAUCACAGAACCAGCACAAACAUGAAUGAUCAUGGAAGGAUGAAAUAACUAAUCAUCAUUGCACAACUCAAUUGUCUCAGUCAGAAAAGGUUCAUCAUUGCACAACCCCAAAACCUCAAUAGGUAACAUGAAGAACGAAAUAAUUCUGCGCAUGAUCCGUAUAUUUGACGAGAGCGACAAGAGUCAACAACCUCCUAGGGGAGGGGGCUGCAGUGAGGAGAUGGGGCCGAGGGAAGGUGAGGGGGAGAAGGGGAGACUGCAGACCUCCAAAUGGAAUUUUUUUAUUUUUAGCCUAAAUUUGAAACAUAUUUCAAAUUUUACUCGGUUUCGAAAUUUUUUUCAAAAGUAGUCUGUUUGGCCCCGCCACCAUAUAUGGCGAGGCAAAUGAACUGUAAUGCGUCAUGCAUGGCGAUGGGGUACAGCUGCCACGUGGCAUGCAGCCCUCAGGGGCCUACUGACGUGGCGGGGUAUGUGGCAAAGUGUACCCCAUCACCCAUCAUGGCGGGUUAGGCAACCCCGCCGGCCAUCAUGACGGGGUACGUCCAGAGCCACUUGGGGCAGGCAGUGUCGUGCUUCCUGGCUUUACGUGCGUCACGAAAGGGUAGGCACCGUAGCUUCUGUAGUAGGAGGGAUGGGGAUCCGCAUGUCAUCUUAGCCCGGCGAUCCGCUCAUUUAUAAAUGGCAGUCGUGGAGAGAGAGUUUUGACAUGCGAGCGGUCUGACCGGUCUUUAUUUAAAGAUAUAUGACAUGGGAAAUAACUUUGAUUAAAAUAUAUAUGUUAAAGUUUUUAAAUCUAGUUUUUUAACAAAUUUAUUUAAAGAUAUAAGUAUUGUAUAUAUUUUUUAUAAAUCGAGUUAAACUGGUGAUACAGAAAAAAGACAGUUAAACACGAACUAAGGGAGUACUCCGUAUUUCAAAGUUGUUAAAGGCAUGCGGUCGCAAAUAACAGUGCAAACAAUUUUGACUUAAUUUAUAAAAAAUACAAUUUCUAAUAAAUUUAUUAAAAAUUAAAUUUAAAUAUCUAUUUAAUGAUAUUUAUUUUAUAUUAUAAAUAUUAAUAUUUUUAAUAUAUAUGUAAUCAAAGUUAUUUUUUUAAAAAAAAUGACAAACAUUUAGGAACGGGGAGAGACAGAUGACAUGCGAGCACAGUGCUGCACAGUGCACAGUGCCGCUGCACAGUACUGGGGAGAUUUGUGUGCCUGCCCUGUUGUACUGUGCUGUGCUACCUCUUUAUUUCUAAAUAUUUGUUGUUUUCGCUUCUCGAAAAAAACUUUGAUUAAAUAUUUAUUAAAAAUAUUAAUAUAUAUAAUAUAAAAUUAGUAUCAUUAGAUAGAUAUUUAAAUCUACUUAUUUAAUAAAUUUAUUUGAAGUUAGAAAUAUUGCACAUAUCUUUUAUAAAUCAAGUUAAAGUUUUUUGCACUGUUAUUGUUGCGCUACAAGGUACCCAUGUGUAAUAUUUAUAUCUUUAAAUAACAGCUUUGAAAUACUAAGUACUCGCUUGGUUUUUAUUUAACUGUCGUUUUAUCCAUAUCACAAUUUGACUCGAUUUAUAAAAAAUAUGUACAAUAUUUAUAUCUUUAAAUAAAUUUCUUAAAAAACUAGAUUUAUAUUUGCAUGGUGACGCUGCCAAAAGGAUUAGAUUUAGAAAAAAAACUUUCAGAGUCAAAAUUGAAAAUAGUUUAGAAAAAAGUUAGAAAUAAAAAAAAUUCGCUACGGCAGACAGGGCCGAUAUGAUGCGAGGCGAGCUCCUGCUUGCAAAAGAGACAAGAAAACCGAGGAGGGCAGUAGGACCCGCCGCCGUGCAGGUGCAGCAGGGGAAGACUGGUCAGACCGCUCAUGUCAAAACUCUCUCUCCACGCCUUCCAUUUAUAAAUGACCGGAUCGCCGGCUAUGAUGACAUGCAGAUCCCCAUCCCAUCCCAUCCCUGCUAUAGUAAGCUAUAGUGUCUGCCCCUUCGUGACGCACGCAAAGCUAGGAAGCACGCCACUGCAUGCCCCCAGUGGCCCUGGACGUACCCCGCCAUGAUGGGCGGCGGAGGUGCCUAACCUGCCAUGAUGAGUGGGCGGAUACACUUUGUCACGUACCUCCGCCACGUCAUUAAGCCCCUAAGGGCUGCAUACCACGCGGCAGCUGUACCCCGCCGCUAUGCAUGACGGGUUACAGUUCAUUUGCCUCGCCAUAUAUGGUGGCGGAGCCAAACGGGCUACUUUUGAAAAAAAUUUCGAAACCGAGUCAAAUUUAAAAUAUGUUUCAAAUUUAGGCUAAAAAUAAAAAAUCCUCCAAAUGCGCCAUUGUGGGGCUCCUCCAACAAUGAAGGCCAGUGAGGCAGGUCCACAUGUGUAUCUGUCCCUAGUGCUAGCAAGGAGGGCAUGCAUCGGAGAAAGGUGGCACUACGGGAGGGAGUGGCUUCCCCUAGUGCCAAAUGCACUCGGGGAAGGCCUAAUUGCACUCGGAGAAGCCUUCUCCGAGUGCAACACUCGGGGAAGAGUGCCCGGGGUAUCUGUUCACGGUAAAGACGUCUUCCCCGAGAGCCAAAACUCGUGCACUCGGGGAAGUCUUUUCCGAGAGCCGUCCUAGCACUAGGGGAAGAGUUGACGCCGUUGGUGGCAUCCGGCGCCGUUUGCUUGUUAAAAAAAAAAAUCUUCCCCGAGUGCAACACUCGGGGAAGGCACUAUCUUUCCCGAGAGCCGAACGCCAGGCACUAGGGGAAGACUCCUUCCCCAAGAGCUGCAGCCAAAGCACUAGGGAAAGACUCCUUCUUCCCCGAGAGCUGCAGCCAAAGCACUAGGGGAAGACUUCCUCUUCCCCGAGAGCCGCUGCCAAAGCACUAGGGGAAGACUUCCUCUUCCCCGAGAGCCAAACUCUGUGCACUCGGGGAAGCCAUUUCGAAAAUUCUUUUUUUUUGCUUUUCCAUUUAAUCAACAGAGCAUAUAUAUAUAUAUCACAGUCCAAAAAUCAACAGCAAUAUAUCACAAACCACAUUUAUAUAUAUCACAAAUGACCAAAUUUAUACGAAAUUCAGAAUAUAUUACAAACCACACGUUUAAGAGUACAUAUUAUUCCAAGUUCACAAGUUUAAUACAUAAAAACAACUCCCAAGACAGCUCACGGCGACUGUCCAGUGUGCGAUGCCGGCGAGGGUUGGGACGCCCCAGCUUGCGAUCCCGGCGACGGUCUAGGUGUGCAUAGCACGCCGUGCGAUCCUAGCGACCCUCCGACAUGGUUGGACGCCGCCCCCGAUGCAUGCUACAAAAGAGAGAGCAUUGGAUGUGAGUGACAAAUAAAAAUGUAGAGAGUGUAAAGAAAAAUUGGAAAUUUCGGCAGCACCUCCCUGCACGGGGAGGUUUCCAAAACCUGCAAGAGAAACGUCGACACGAAGGCCGACAAGCACAUGUCUGGCACGAUGGCCGUCACAUCAACAAAUCCAGCACGAAGGCCGACACAUCAACAAAUCCGGAGAAGGCCAUCACUAGGUUUUAUGCUAAGUAUGAGCAAAGAAAGUAAAACAUCCAUACUAGUACUCACCGGAGUAGACUCUCGACGAUAUGAUGGUGGUGCUGGUGCAAGCAGCUGUGCUGGGAUCUCCCAACCUUGUUGUUGCCCAAGUUGUUGCACGAACUUGGGCAAACCCUCUUGCUGGGCCUCCAAAGCUUGUAUCCUCUGACGCUCGGCCUCCCGCUCGGCUCGCUCAGCCUCUCGCUCAGCCAACUGGGCCUCCUGCUGGGCCCGAAGUGCUAGCAGCUCGGCCUACAACAUUUGAAUCCAAUGUUUCAAUAAUGCAAAGGUAAGGAACGUAAAAUUGAAAGAACGAUGAAUGAAACUGGAAUACUUACCUGUAGUGCCUCCACCGCUGUUGGCCGUUGGCUUAUGGGCACGCUAGAGCUCGUGCUCGCUGCUCGUAGACGGUUGAGAGGAGGAGUACAACCUGUCUCAAGGAUGCCGUCGCCAAUGUAGAAUCGUCCAUGCUUCUUACCUUGCCCAAUCCUCAUCACUAGCUCAGGAUCAAGGCGCUCCUCAGUCCUCGGAUUGUAGUCCGACCCAUGGACUAACCUCGAUGCCUCCGUGUACGAAUUGAGACGGGUGUAGACGCUAGAGUUGGUGUACACCUCUGGGCUUGCAUCAGGGUUGUACUCGAUGUUGGACUUUGCCGGGCCCAUGUGGGCCAGAGCAUACGCCGUGAGUUGGCCAAUUGGCUGGCCACCGUGCGCCGCCUCCUGCAAUAUAGACAACAUGUGGUUUGCAAUCAUGCAGAAUUGAGCGUGGCUAGAUUAGACAAGUGGUGGAGACUUACAUAUGUCUUCUUGUAUUUGCUGAGGCUCGCGCUACCCUGAUGGUGAGGUACACCUGGCAUCAGCAUACGUUGCUCGCUUUUCUCUUGGUGCAAAGAUCCUUCAUCAUGACUUCCCUUGUUCUUCUUUUUUUGUUCUCACAAUGGCUGCAGGGACAGAACGUGUCUAUCGCUCCCUUAGCUUCCUUAAAUGCAUGUUCCAAAAAUUUCUCGGUCUUAUCCAUCCAUUCACGGGUCAUUUGAGUCUGACUUGGGCGUCCCGUGUACAUCCACUCACGGUUAUCCAUCCUCUAGCAUAUACACAUAAUGGACUAAUAUAACCAUCAAUCGAAUUUGCACGGCGUGUCUACUGUCUAAUAGGUGAGGAUAGGUUCUAAUCCCACCCGCAGAUGCGUAGAUAAGGUUAGUUUUCAUGCUCUACUCCAAUCCAAGACGAAAUUUUGGCAGCACCUCCCCGCUGCUCUUCCGAUACACGUCCUACAAGGGAGAGUGUGUAUCCGAAGAACAAUAGGGAGGUGGUGCCAAAACUUCAUCUUGGAUCCGAGCAGAACAUGAAAACUAACCCAUCUACGCAUCCGCAGGCUGUCCAAAAAACGUGGACAAUCCAAAACAGAUACGGUUACAGUUAUGUAGAGAUCCACAUAGCUCAAACAGUAUCUGUUUCGGACGGGAGACACCUAACUAGGCUAUACCGAUCUACGUACGACAGCGAUAAGGAAGAGAGCUCAAUUAUACCUACGGUGGUGGUGGAGACAGGCUAGCGGUGCAGUGGCGAGUUGGUGCAGUGGCGUGGCGAUGCAGUGCAGGCACGACCGCAACACCGACGAAGACGACCAGGUCACUGAGUGCUCUGGUCCCAUUNNNNNNNNNNNNNNNNNNNNNNNNNNNNNNNNNNNNNNNNNNNNNNNNNNNNNNNNNNNNNNNNNNNNNNNNNNNNNNNNNNNNNNNNNNNNNNNNNNNNNNNNNNNNNNNNNNNNNNNNNNNNNNNNNNNNNNNNNNNNNNNNNNNNNNNNNNNNNNNNNNNNNNNNNNNNNNNNNNNNNNNNNNNNNNNNNNNNNNNNNNNNNNNNNNNNNNNNNNNNNNNNNNNNNNNNNNNNNNNNNNNNNNNNNNNNNNNNNNNNNNNNNNNNNNNNNNNNNNNNNNNNNNNNNNNNNNNNNNNNNNNNNNNNNNNNNNNNNNNNNNNNNNNNNNNNNNNNNNNNNNNNNNNNNNNNNNNNNNNNNNNNNNNNNNNNNNNNNNNNNNNNNNNNNNNNNNNNNNNNNNNNNNNNNNNNNNNNNNNNNNNNNNNNNNNNNNNNNNNNNNNNNNNNNNNNNNNNNNNNNNNNNNNNNNNNNNNNNNNNNNNNNNNNNNNNNNNNNNNNNNNNNNNNNNNNNNNNNNNNNNNNNNNNNNNNNNNNNNNNNNNNNNNNNNNNNNNNNNNNNNNNNNNNNNNNNNNNNNNNNNNNNNNNNNNNNNNNNNNNNNNNNNNNNNNNNNNNNNNNNNNNNNNNNNNNNNNNNNNNNNNNNNNNNNNNNNNNNNNNNNNNNNNNNNNNNNNNNNNNNNNNNNNNNNNNNNNNNNNNNNNNNNNNNNNNNNNNNNNNNNNNNNNNNNNNNNNNNNNNNNNNNNNNNNNNNNNNNNNNNNNNNNNNNNNNNNNNNNNNNNNNNNNNNNNNNNNNNNNNNNNNNNNNNNNNNNNNNNNNNNNNNNNNNNNNNNNNNNNNNNNNNNNNNNNNNNNNNNNNNNNNNNNNNNNNNNNNNNNNNNNNNNNNNNNNNNNNNNNNNNNNNNNNNNNNNNNNNNNNNNNNNNNNNNNNNNNNNNNNNNNNNNNNNNNNNNNNNNNNNNNNNNNNNNNNNNNNNNNNNNNNNNNNNNNNNNNNNNNNNNNNNNNNNNNNNNNNNNNNNNNNNNNNNNNNNNNNNNNNNNNNNNNNNNNNNNNNNNNNNNNNNNNNNNNNNNNNNNNNNNNNNNNNNNNNNNNNNNNNNNNNNNNNNNNNNNNNNNNNNNNNNNNNNNNNNNNNNNNNNNNNNNNNNNNNNNNNNNNNNNNNNNNNNNNNNNNNNNNNNNNNNNNNNNNNNNNNNNNNNNNNNNNNNNNNNNNNNNNNNNNNNNNNNNNNNNNNNNNNNNNNNNNNNNNNNNNNNNNNNNNNNNNNNNNNNNNNNNNNNNNNNNNNNNNNNNNNNNNNNNNNNNNNNNNNNNNNNNNNNNNNNNNNNNNNNNNNNNNNNNNNNNNNNNNNNNNNNNNNNNNNNNNNNNNNNNNNNNNNNNNNNNNNNNNNNNNNNNNNNNNNNNNNNNNNNNNNNNNNNNNNNNNNNNNNNNNNNNNNNNNNNNNNNNNNNNNNNNNNNNNNNNNNNNNNNNNNNNNNNNNNNNNNNNNNAUUUAAGGCUGGGCAUGUGCUCAAACCCAAAAAUAGCAUCUCAACUUUUGAUCCAAACAAGACUUCUAAAGAGAUUGCUCUCGUGUGCCCUGAAACCUAAAAUAGCAUCUCAACAGGUGAUCAUUUAUUUUGAGACUACUUCAGUCUGUUAAUUUUUAUUCUAAUGUAUGUGUUGAGUAUAGUAUAAGCGACAAUAUAGUUCAUGAUUAGUAUCUUUUAGAACGAACAAAAUUUAAGAUUAGCUUCGAUUUACCCAGUUUAAUAAUUUACCCAAGUAGCCUUCAAACAUUUCUCUGAGUGCAAAAAACAGCAUCCAGACAUCCUUUUGUAUAGCAGUGUUCCACCAUAAACAAGUGCAAAAAGGAUGUAAUUCAGCAAUGACUGUGAUGUAGGCGCAUUGACACUUGAAAAAAGAAAUCCUACCGGGAGAAGAUUGUGCCGCAGUCGCACUUGUACUCCCUGGUGCCGCAGACCUUGUUCUUGGAGCGGCGUGCGGGGUCGCGGUCUGGGCGGCGCGCGUGCGGUCGAGGUCUGGCGGCGCGCGGAGUCGGGGUCCCCCGGGGCGGCGUGCGGUCGAGGUCUGGGGCACGCGGUCGAGGCCUGGGCGUCGCGGGGGUCGAGGUCCGGGCUGCGCGCGGGGUUGACGGCGCGCGGGGUCAAGGUGGGGGCAGGCGCGCGCGGGGGGUCGGGGUCCAUGUCGGCGCGCGGGGUUUAGAUGUCUAGGUUUUAGACAUCCAACAUCGCAAACUUAUUCCAAACCUUCUCAAUUUUUUAUCAUAACCUCUACAUGCGAUAACAUGACGUCCAGACAAGUUUCUUUAUUUUUGGACUUUUUUCGGAUUUUAUAUAAUUUUAAAACACUUUUUCCGUAAGUUGUAUCUCAUGUUUCGAUAACAAGAUGUUUCACAUUUGAUUUGAGCUUCUGGAUACGGUCUUAACAUACACCAAAUAUCGUGAAUAUAAUUUUUUGAAUACAAAAAUUCCAUUAUUUAGUGCACCUACAGUUCAAAUUGGAAGUUUGUAAAAAAAUCAAUGAAACGAAAAAAAACUAAUGAAAUAUACUAAAAAAAAGUUUAAAUAUCCCCAAAUUUAAACAAGAAGUUUGAAAUAAUGUAGGAAGGCAAAAGAAAAAAAUUUGGGCAAAAAAAAAAAAAAAAAAAAACUUCCCUGAGUGUCAGGAUUCAGCUCUCGGGGAAGGGCCUCUUCCCCGAGUGCCAGGACAGCAGCACUCGGGGAAGCCAGUAUCUUCCCCGAGUGUCAGGAUUCAGCACUCGGGAAAGAGCGCCUUCCCCGAGUGUUUUUUUUGCCUCUCGGGGAAGAUUUUUUUAAAUUUCGAGCCCCAACGGCGCCGUUUGCUUGGGACGUCAAGGAACACUUUUUUUUCCGAGUGCUUGUCUUCCCCGAGUGUUACGCUCGGGGAAGAACACUUUUUCCGAGUGUCAUUCUUCCCUGAGUGCCAGGUAGGCUACGGCACUCGGGGAAGCCUCUCUUCCCCGAGUGCAAUUCUUCCCCGAGAGCAACACUCGGGGAAGACUGGAUUCCCCGAGGGCUCGAUUUUUGGCUCUCGGGGAAGCCUUUGACACUCGGGAAAUUUCGAUUCUCCCGUAGUGUGGUCUUCCUCAACGCAAACAGCUUGCCCAUGCCAUAAUGAAGAGGAAGGGAAGCCUCACAACUAGUAUUACAGAGAUAUCCAGUGAGGGGAGGAACAAAUCCUGCGGCAAGAUGGGAUGGACAACUCUGGUAUCUGGGCUGAGAAAAAUAGAAUGAUUAGGCAAACUAUCAAAGCAACAACAUUAACUAAUAGUUAUUUGAACUAAUUAUGGUUAAACCUAUAGGUAACACUAUGUCAAAUACUGAAGGAGCUUAGUAUUUUAAAUACGCCAUGAUAGCCGCGUAUGGAAGACAUGAGUGUUUGACCAAUUCUAUGAGAAAAAACAGGAAUGUGUAUGACAUCUAGGAGAGGUAACCCAACAGGAAUGUAUUUAUCAUGCAUAGUGAAAUGUGCAUAAUGUGUAAGUAGUUUGAUUUAAUCAAAGCGUACUGUUGGCAUAGCAACUCUAUAAGAAAAGGAGAGUUUACCUCCAUUAAGGAAGACCAAUCCAACUUUGUAAAGAUUGAAAACACAUAGAUAGAACGAUGAUAAUCCAAGCAUGAUAGAACUUCUGCAAGCUAGAGAGUAGCGACUCACCUACCAUGAGCAUGUGUCUCUUUUCCCGAUUCCUGUGCAUAUUUGUCUAGCCAAAAGGUAUACGUCCCUGGAUCAUUCUGAAUAAUCUCAAACUGUAUGUUUUCACUGAACCAAUACACUAUACACACCUAGUAGAAAGGACACACCAGAUUAAUAUCCAGCUAAAGUAUUAAACUAUCAAUACUAUUAUCAGAAUAGGUCUAAAAGGAACAAGGAUACAAAUUACAUAAGGACCAUGUUUAGUCUCUUGCUUAAUAAAUAUGUCAUGAAAGGAAGUUGAUAACAGUGAGUGUAAUCUGGGUUGGCAUCUGAAAAAACAGGAAACAAAGAUCAAUAAUUUAUCUCUUUAUGUCAAUAGGACACAUAUUAGGGCAAGCGACAUGUGCACAUGUUUACACUAUUAUGCAAAGUGGUAUUCUGUUGGUCCAUGUGAUGGUUAUAGACAUACAGUC